GAUUGUACUUACUUGGUAUGGUCUGAUUGCUCGACGGAGCUAGCUUGUGCCCGCUGGAGGAAGACAAUUCUGAAGUGCCACUGGUUGUUGGAAGUGGACAUCGAAGUGUUGUUCGUUAGAGGAAGAUAAUGUAGAAAUUGUACCCUAAAACCUAGAGGACAAUGAACCUCUGAGGCUUUGCAGAUUGUACUUACUUGAUAUGGUCUGAUUGCUCGAUGGAGCUUGCUUGUGCCCGCUGGAGGAAGACAAUUCUGAAGUGCCACUGGUUGGGAAAAGUUGACCUCAAAGUGUUGUUCGCCGGAGGAAGAUGAUGUAGAAAUUGUACCCUAAAACCUAGAGGACAAUGAACCUCUGACGCCGUGGAAGCAUUGCAUGGGGAGGUAGUCUAGGGAUGUCUGAGUUUACCAAGUUUGCACGAUGGAAAGAGAGAUAUUCUGUUUGCAGAGAUUGAAUCUUUGUACAUUAUUGAUGAUAGUUUGGAUUUGUUUGGGGAUAUUGUAUCUGCAUGCUGCAUGCGUUAGUUUUUUGGGAAUUGUCUCAUCGCUCAUGGUAUGGUACAAUCUGUACGUGUGGGAGAUGCAAAAAUCAUGUUCGUGUGGGAUGACCCAACUUGUAUGCGUUUCUUUAACAUUGUAUGUUUUUUUGUUGAACGUCCAACCUGGGAUUGUGAAAUCUGAUCCCUCAUGGGGUGGUCUUGCCUGGGUUCGUGAAACUGAACGUGAAGUCCUUAUCUCAUGGUAUGGUCCCACCUGGUUUAUGAAGAUCUAACGGUUGUACUUUAUUGACUUGGUAUACGCACACCGAAUUAAAGGUCAGAUAUUUCUAAUUAUUGUGAGAUUUUCUAAGCUAAUUAUCUUUAUUCUGGUAACCCCAUCAAAUACUUUUUAAUAUAAAUAGAUAGAUACUCUCUUUGGCCCCUUGGGUGUGAAGCUCCUAAGCUGUAUUGUGGCAUGAUAGCCGGUUUAAUGGACAAAACAGGACGUCGCUUUGUAAGCAGAAGCCCCCUUGUAACCAAUAAAUAUUGGAAGAACGGCAGAGGCCCUGCUUGUAGCAAGGAUGCCGGUUUAUUAUAUUAAUCAUAAUAUAUACCUUGUUAAAAUAUGUACAUAGUGAGAGCCUAUGGCUCAGGUGUAGUAAGGCCGUAGAAGAGCGAUAUUCCACGGCCGACGGGUCUCCUCCUCCGAUUUCCUUGAGUCCUUGUGCUCGCGAACGUCGAUGAGGUAGUAUGAUCCGUUGUGCAGAUUCUUGCUGACCAUAAAGGGCCCUUCCCAAGGUGGGGAUAACUUGUGCAUAUCGGUUUGAUCCUGGAUGAGCCGGAGCACUAAGUCACCUUCUUGAAAGGUUCUUGUUCUAACCCGGCGGCUGCGAUAACGCGCAGGUCUUGCUGGUAAACCGUCGAACGAGCCAACGCCAUGUCCCGUUUUUCAUCUAACAGGUCCAAUGCUUCUUGACGUGCUUGCUCGUUGUCCGCUUCAACAUAAUUGGCAACCCGGGACGAGGCAUGAUGAAUAUCACCUUUGGAGUACUGCCUCUGCCCCGUAAACCAUGAAGAAAGGUGUAUAACCUAUAGACCGGUUUGGGGUGGUGUUUAUACUCCAUAACACAGAUGGUAAUUCCUCCACCCAACAACCCGACGUCCUCUUUAAAGGAAUCAUAAGCCGGGGCUUGAUGCCCUUCAAGAUUUCCUGAUUGACUCUCUCAGCUUGACCAUUAGAUUGGGGGUGAGCCACAGACGCCACGUCAAGACGGAUGUGCUCUCGUUGACAAAAGUCCUCCAUCUCGCCUUUGGAGAGGUUCAUGCCAUUAUCUGUGAUGAUGCUGUAUGGAAAACCGAAACGAAAGAUCACCUUUUUGAUGAAUUAAACCGCCGUGGCUGCGUCACACUUGCUUACUGGCUCCGCUUCAACCCAUUUAGUAAACUUGUCAACCGCCACCAACAGGUGGGUCUUCUUAUCUUUGGAUCGCUUGAAAGGCCCUACCGUGUCAAGCCCCCAAGUAGCAAACGGCCAGGUGAUGGGAAUCAUCCGUAUCUCCUGAGCCGGAACAUGAGCUCGUCGUGAAAAUUUCUGACAACUGUCGCACCGUCUUACCAAGUCCUCAGCAUCAGCAUGAGCCGUCAGCCAAUAGAAGCCAUGACGAAAUGCUUUAGCAACUAAGGAUUUUGAACCGGCGUGAUGACCACAGUCUCCUUCGUGGAUCUCUCGUAGAAUCUCACGACCUUCUUCAGGAGAAACACAACGUUGGAACGCACCAGAAACACUGCAACGGUGUAACUUGCUGUUGUAAACAACCAUGGACUUGGAUCGCCGGACUAUCUGCCUGGCCAAAACUUCAUCUUCUGGCAACUCACGCCGGUUCAUAUAUGCCAAGUAUGGAACCGUCCAAUCCAGAAUGAUAUGUAAAGCGGCCACCAACUGUGCCUUCGGAUCAGGAAUAGCGAGGUCCUCCUCUGUAGGCAACUGGACCGACGGGUUGUGCAAGACAUCCAGAAAGGUAUUGGGUGGCACCGGUUUACGCUGAGAUCCCAGCCGGCUUAAAGCAUCAAUUGCCUCAUUUUUGCGCCGAUCAAUGUGCUCCACUUGAUAACCCUUGAAGUGACCAGCAACAGUAUCCACCUCUCGCCGGUAAGCCGCCAUGAGUGGAUCCUUGGAAUCCCAAGUACCGGAAACUUGCUGGGCUACCAGAUCCGAGUCUCCAAAGCAUCGUACUCGGCUUAAGUUCAUUUCCUUAGCCACUCGAAGACCAUGGAGUAAGGCUUCAUACUCAGCUGUAUUGUUAGUACAAGGGAACAUUAAGCGAAGAACAUAAUGAAUUUUAUCACCUCGAGGGGAAGUAAGGACAACUCCAGCCCCCGAGCCCUCCAAUUGCCUAGAUCCUCAAAGUGGAUAGUCCAGUAUGUGCUGUCCGGUUUGUCCUCCGGUAUCUGCAACUCUGUCCAAUCAUUGAUGAAAUCCACAAGGGCCUGGGAUUUGAUUGAUGUUCGAGGCAUAUACCUCAAACCGUGUGGUCCAAGCUCAAUAGCCCACUUAGCAACCCGACCAGUUGCCUCCCUGUUCUGGAUUAUAUCCCCCAAAGGAGCAGAACUGACCACUCUGAUGGGAUGACCUUGAAAGUACUGCUUAAGCUUCCGACUUGCCAUAAAAACUCCAUACACCAGCUUCUGCCAAUGUAGAUAUCUUUGCUUUGACUCAAUGAGCACUUCGCUGAUAUAAUAAACCGGCCUUUGAACCGGGUACUCCUUCCCAGCCUCCUUGCGCUCCACCACAAUAGCUACACUGACAGCCCGGGCAUUAGCAGCCACAUAUAACAGCAGCGGCUCCUUAUCAACUGGAGCAGCAAGAACCGGCGGUUCAGCUAACUGCUUCUUCAAGUCCUCAAACGCCGCAUCAGCAGCAUCGCUCCAGACAAAGCUGGCUGUCUUCUUCAACAUCUGAUACAAAGGGAUCGCCUUUUCUCCCAACCCGCUGAUAAACUGGCUCAAAGCCGCAAUGCGACCCGCCAAACAUUGAACAUCAUUGAUACAUGCUGGUUUAGCCAGGGAUGUGAUAGCCUUGAUCUUUUCCGGAUUAGCCUCAAUGUCCCGGUUGGACACCAAGAAUCCCAAGAGCUUGCCAGCCGGUACAGCAAAUACACAUUUAGCCGGAUUGAGCAUCACUUUAUAAACUCUCAGAUUAUCAAAGGUUUCUUGCAAAUCAGUUAUGAGUGUCUCUGCCUUCCUGGAUUUGACCACAAUAUCAUCCACAUAGGCAUAUGCGUCCAAUCUGAGUAUGAAGACAAUUCUGCACACAGCGUUGAUAAGUUGCCUGGGCACUCUUGAGCCCAAAGGGCAUAGACACAUAAUAGAAGGCUCCAAAGGGAGUGAUGAAAGAUGUCUUCUCCUGGUCCUUAACCGCGAUCUUGAUCUGAUGAUAACCAGAAUAAGCAUCCAAGAAGCUCAAACGCUCACAACCCGCCGUGGCAUCAAUGAUUUGAUCAAUAUGAGGGAGGGCAAAGGGAUCAGCUGGGCAAGCUUUGUUCAAAUCUGUGUAAUCCACACACAUACGCCAAGUGCCGUUUUUCUUAAGUACCAGCACCGGAUUAGCCAACCACUAUGGGUGAAACACUUCCAAAAUAAACCCUGCUGCCAAUAGGCGGGCUACCUCUUCACCAAUGGCCUUGCGCCGCUCCUCAUUAAAGUGGCGAAGAAACUGUUUGACCGGUUUGAAUUUCGGAUCAAUAUUAAGAGUGUGCUCAGCGAGUUCCCUCGGUACACCUGGCAUGUCAGAAGGCUUUCAUGCAAAGAUGUCCCGGUUCCCAUGGAUGAACUCGAUGAGCGUGCUUUCCUAUUUCGGAUCCAAGUUGACACUGAUAUUGAACUGCUGGGAUGAAUCGCAGGAACAAAAUCAACCAAUUUAGUCUCAUCCACCGAUUUAAACUUCAAAGCCGGAUCAUGCUCCAUAGUGGGCUUCUUUAGAGAGGUCAUGUCUGCCGGAUCAACAUUGUCCUUAUAAAACUUCAACUCUUCAGUUGCACAAACCGAUUCAGCAUAUGCCGCAUUACCUUCCUCGCAUUCCAGAGCAAUCUUACGACUACCAUGAACCGUGAUGGUCCCUUUAUGACCCGGCAUCUUUUGCUGCAGAUAAACAUAACACGGCCUUGCCAUGAAUUUAGCAUAAACUGGCCGUCCAAACAAAGCAUGGUACGGACUUCUGAUCUUGACCACUUCGAAGGUCAGCGUCUCGGAUCUUGAAUCAUGAUCAUCUCCAAAAACCACCUCCAAAGCUAUCUUACCAACUGGGUAAGCCGAUUUACCAGGCACCACACCGUGAAAAACGGUGUUUGACGGUCUAAGGUUCUUAUCUGUCAACCCCAUACGCCGGAAGGUUUCAUAAUACAAGAUAUUGAUACUGCUCCCUCCAUCCAUGAGCACCUUGGUGAACUUAUAACCUCCAACCUGCGGUGCAACCACCAAAGCUAGGUGGCCCGGAUUGUCAACCCGGGGCGGAUGAUCCUCCCUGCUCCAGACAAUAGGUUGUUCAGACCAGCGUAGAUAACGGGGCACCGCCGGUUCAACAGAGUUUACCGCCCUUUUAUGGAGCUUCUGAUCGCGCUUGCACAAUCUAGUAGUGAAGACAUGAUACUGUCCAUCGUUUAACUGCUUCGGGUUGCUCUGAUAACCCGACUGCUGUUGAUUCCCCUGAUUACCCUGUUGACUGUUACCACCUUGAUUGUUCUGAUUGCCCUGAUUAUUCUGAAAUCCUGAGUUUGAACCGCCACCACCGUAACCCGGCCCAUGAAAUCCUAGACCGGAACCACCGGAUGGACCCUGAUCAUACUGGAAGAGAUCAGAGUUUUUGAAUUCCCUCAUGAUGUGGCAAUCUUUCCAGAGGUGUGUGGCCGGAACCUCCUUCGUCCCGUGCUUCGGGCAGGGCUGGUUUAACAAGCGUUCUAGAUUCAUGCCUCCACCACGUUGGGGCGGUUUACCCUUACGAUGCUGCAUAUUGCCCUGCAUACUGGUGUUAGCCACAAAAUCUGAAUUGUCCGCUUUACGCUUACCAUUGUUCCCGUGGCUCGCCUGGUUAUGCUGUCCUUUUGAACCGGCAUUCUUCUUUCCCUUCUCCUGCUUUUCUUCGUCAGAAUCAGGGUCCUUGGUGUUAUCAGAAUCAACAUACUUAACUAGAGCCGCCAUGAGUGUUACCAUAUCAUUGCAGUGACGCUUAAGCCGCCCCAACUUCAUCUUCAGUGACUUAAACCGGCAAUUACCUUCCAAGGUCACAAUUGCCGUGUCCGGAUUGAUGCGGCCCGACGAAUGCAAAAUUUCUGAAACCCGGCGCACCCAAUGGGUUGUCGAUUCAUUCUCUCCUUGGACACAAGCCGCCAGAUCCACAAUGGACAUGGGUUGCUUGCACGUAUCCUUUAAGUUUGCAUUAAACUUGGCCUUCAACUCAUCCCAUGAACUGAUCGAGUUAACAAGCAGACUCUUCAACCAGGUACGAGCUGUUCCUUCUAACAUCAUGGUGAAGUAUUUUGCACAUGCCGCUUCAUCCAUAUCUAACAUCUCCAUUGCCAUCUCAUAACUUUCAACCCACGCCUCAGGGGGCUGAUCAGCGGUAUAAUUAGGUACUUUACGCGGACCCUUGAAAUCUUUGGGCAGCCGCACAUUACGCAGAGCUGGGGUGAGGCACGGUACUCCCCAAGAGCUAAAAGCCAAACCACGCUCAACUGAUGCCGCUGGCUGAACCGGAGCGGGUUGAUUCUGGUACUGCGCAGCCAACUGGGCUGCUAACUCUACCUCGUGCCGUGCUCUGCCAUUGUUCACCACAUCCUGAGCAUUCAAACCGUCGUUCGCCGGAUUAGGCCCUCGAGGGGCAUCACGACGCCGCGCACUGCUUGACACGGUCGGUUCAUCCAUGUGCCUGCUAUAACUCUUGCUCGGACGAGGGGUUGAAUGUAUUCUGUCCCGGCUGUAGGAAUAAGCCUGCUGCUGCACAACAGCGGUUUGAAGAAGAUCCCUGGCCCGUCGUGUCUCAAUCGCCGCUAGUGAGUCACCCUCCAUCGGAAUAACUGCCAAACACGAUGCUGCAGCGAUCAUGUUAUCCAAAGGGCUAGAGAAGUGACCUGGUGGCGUUGUUACAUAUUGCGGCGGUUUGUCCGUCCGUCGAGGCGGGUCCACCACCCGUGGCUGAUCCGGCGCCGCCCCAGGUGCCUCGGUCCGGUUCACUGCUACCGGAUUACUAGGUCCGGCUCCUAGCGUGCUGAAGAGGUUCAUACCCUCAUAAAUCUGCGGCAGACGAGAUCGAUACUUCCUCCUCAUCAUGUCGUUUGACGCAUUCUGAUCCAACAUAAGCCGGUAGUUCUGCGCCUGAAUCUGUUGUGAUUGGGCAUCUAAAGCGGCCCGCUCUUCAUCCAUCCUGGCCUCCUCAGCCGUCAAGUCUGCCUUGGCCUGAGCUAUCUGAUCCUUUAGCUUCGUAACAUCCGCAUUAUGCUGAACUUGAGUCUCCGGGGUUACCACUGUGGUCAACAAUGCCGUCAAGGCGUCCAGCAAACCGGCAAGAGCUUGAGCCGGCCGACGCGCCGGGCCUCCUGCCGCAGCUGCCGAUCCGGAAAUCAUUGCUGCUGUGGAUGAAGAUUGCACGGUGGGCUGCGUACCGGCCAUGAAGAUUGCAACCCGGUUUGGCGGUUCGAAGGGGCCCGAAAUACCGUCGCCAUCGGAAUAUCCCCCAAUCCGGCCAUCUUGCAACUGGUACAGCGAGUCGGUUUCGCCAGUGGAUGAUUCACCAUCGGAGUAGAUGGCCGUCUCACCGUCAGACACCGGUUCAGAUUCCGCACCAUGGAUGAACCCUACAAACGCACGCUUCAUGGCAGGCUGAACCCAGGCAGGACUUGCAUGCUGAGCCGUCUCGACGAGGUCGGUGGAGAUGUCCGGCUCAGGGCCCGGUUCGCCGAUCUUGCCGAUGAAUACAUGAAUUCCGCCAAAGGGGACCCGAUACCCGUACUCGAUUGAGCCGGCCUCGGGGCCCCAGCCUGCAUCAUCGAUGUAGAGCUUGCCGCGAUGACUCUUGGCCGCCGGGUCAUCCCUUUAUAUACACAGGUUGAUGCCCGGCCGGUUUGCAGAGUCUUGAGGCCGGCUCAUACAAGUGUCCGGCUCGGUCUCUUCCUUUCCCUGUCUUACGAUACAAGUUAGAUAACUAUGGCGGUUUACAACUACGGGCCCUAGUCUGCCUUUAGGCUCUGGGCCUCUAAGCUUUAUUAGUAGAGCGCCAUCUUCUUUAUCUUCAUGGGCUUCAAUAUGGAUGAACGUGAACCGGCCCCUCCUGGGUGGUUUACACUCGAUAGUUAUAUCCUCAACAGGAGGCUUGAAGAGCAAGUGAUAGGUAGCGCGGCAUAGCGAUAGAACGAAGCAACCAGCAUAGCAAUGAUAGUAGUGAGAUCCAGGGUAAUAGUCAUCUUGCCUGAAAUCCCGCUAGGAAGAAGAACGCGUCCAUGAAGAGGAUGAAGCCACGAAGACGAGCCAAGCGUAGACGAACGGAUCCUCACGAUCGCAACGAAAUAGGAACUAACAAGAAGGAGCACAUCCGGAAAGAAGCAAACAACAAGGUAAACACACAACACAUAGACAAGACAUGAUGCUCAACCAAGUAUGAUGCAUGACAAAGGCUAUAUGAUGCUACUCAUGGCAAGCGAUGAUGCAUACAAGAGCAACAUAUCAAAGCAAGUUUAAAUGAGGCCGGAAACAACAUAUAACAAAUCCGGUAAGUCCUCAUAUGCAAAUUUUGGAAUUGGUCCAGAUCUGAAUAAACCUUAGGUUCAAGUUGUUAAAUAGAAAGUUAAAAUGCACCAAGAUGAUCUACACGAAAUUCUAGUCAAGUUACAUAUAAAGUUCAUUUAAUUCGGAGCAACGACCUAGAAGAUAUGAGCAAAACAAGUUAAACAUGGCAUUGAUGCAAAAUGCAUACAACAUCAAGCAAACACAUUCAAAACAUGGAUGCAACAAAGUAACAUGAAACUAUAUGCAAAAUUAAGCAAGUUACAUAUAGAGCACACUCAAAACGGAGCAACGGUUCAACACAUACACAUGAAACAAGUAUAAAGGACAAGCUGUCGAAAAUAGCAACUAGGCAUCUAGCAAGCAUCAGAACAAUAUACUACAGCACCUCAACAUGAAAACAAAAGGCAUGGACAUGAUGUACAUGUAAAGCAUUACAAAACAUGAACACUGAGAUAUCUCCAGAAAUCACUAGAACAUGCUCAAAAGGUCAUGGCAAAAUUGCAAAUAAUAACAGUUUCACAGACGGCAGAAAUCACUGGACAUGUCAGAAAUAACAUCAGGUUGCAAUGUUUAGAGCUAUCAAAUAACAUGCUACAGGAACUUAUAAUGGCAAACAAAGGCAUUGCAUGCUAUUACUAAAAGCAAUUAACAAAACUCCCUUACUGAACUUAUUCCAAAGAUCAACAUAAAAGAUGGUAGAAUCCAUGCAAACAUGGCAAAUGAUAUGACAGAUUCAGACAUGGUAGGAACAACGAUAAGUAGGCAUGCUGGUGAGCUUGUACAACUCAUCACAGAGCAAUACAUGGCAUCACAAGGUGACCAACAGUAAUAAGGCAUAUUUAUAGAGCUAAACUUGGCAAGAGAAUAGUCAUAGGGUGCAGGGAUCACUAGCAAGACACAUGGCAAAACUGAACUUCAUGUUAACAGGCUGACAGAAAUAUUAUUUAUCAAGUUUGGAGCAUGAUAACAGCAAGCUACAGCAGGCCAUAAUUGCAACCAAGGGCAUGGAUGGAUAGAGCAUAACAUGUAGAAUAAAACAGAUUCAGCCUCAUGAUAUAACAUAUUCAGCCUAGUAAAACAGUAACAGCAAGUAGCCCACUUCACAAGCUUGAUGCACUCACCACAAGGCAUACAAAAAUACAUGGAUUGCACCACUGUAAAGAUGGCAUGAAUAUUCUCCUAAAACAUGUAGACAUCAUGCCCAAAGGAUGCACACACAAAAUGCAACGAAAAUGACAAAAAAGCAAGUUAUAACAGUCUCAGCAGAUUAACAUUAUAUAACACUCUUGCAACAAUGAUUAAGGCAUCAAGAUGAACUCAAACAAGCAUGGCACAGUGAAAUGAAAUAAAGAGCAUCUCACAAUGAACAUUUUGACAUAUCAUGCAUGCAAAAGGAGCAAAAGGCAAGAAAUUAUGGCAGGUCAAACAUAUGCACAUGAUUUGAUUUUCUAGGGACAUGGAGAAAAAAUAACCACCUCGCGGAGUGGACCGGGUCAGGGCCGCGGAUCGGGUUGGAGUAGCGGAUCGGGCGCAGCGGAGCGGAUCUGGCGCGGCGGCCGGCCUUCUCUCGGAUCUCGUCGGAUCCGGCGGAGCUCGAGGCGGCAGGGUGCCGGACUCCGGCGACGAACAGCGACGGGUGGUGGGGCGGCGACCGGAGGCGCGGGGUGCUCGGGCAGCACGGCGAACGGCAACGGGCGGCAGGGCGGUGACCGGAGGCGGUCCGAGGCGGCGGCGGACGACGGAGGGGCGUCGGCGUGGGGCGUGGNNNNNNNNNNNNNNNNNNNNNNNNNNNNNNNNNNNNNNNNNNNNNNNNNNNNNNNNNNNNNNNNNNNNNNNNNNNNNNNNNNNNNNNNNNNNNNNNNNNNNNNNNNNNNNNNNNNNNNNNNNNNNNNNNNNNNNNNNNNNNNNNNNNNNNNNNNNNNNNNNNNNNNNNNNNNNNNNNNNNNNNNNNNNNNNNNNNNNNNNNNNNNNNNNNNNNNNNNNNNNNNNNNNNNNNNNNNNNNNNNNNNNNNNNNNNNNNNNNNNNNNNNNNNNNNNNNNNNNNNNNNNNNNNNNNNNNNNNNNNNNNNNNNNNNNNNNNNNNNNNNNNNNNNNNNNNNNNNNNNNNNNNNNNNNNNNNNNNNNNNNNNNNNNNNNNNNNNNNNNNNNNNNNNNNNNNNNNNNNNNNNNNNNNNNNNNNNNNNNNNNNNNNNNNNNNNNNNNNNNNNNNNNNNNNNNNNNNNNNNNNNNNNNNNNNNNNNNNNNNNNNNNNNNNNNNNNNNNNNNNNGGCCCGGCGCGGCCCGGUUCGGCCCGGGGCGGGCCGGAUCUGGGCCCCGGGUGGUGCGGCGAAGUGAGGCACUGGCGGCGGCGACAUGACGGCGCGGGAGUGGUGAAGGGCGGCGGCGGCGACGUGGCGGCGUGGGAGUGGUGGAGGGCGGCGGCGGCGACGAUGUGGCGCCACAGGAUUGGCCGGAGCUACAUGGCUACGGGGCGGUGGACAUGUCCGGCGCGAGUGGACACGUCCGGCGGCGCGAGGAAGAGGAAGGCUAGGGUUUGGACUGCGAGAUUUUUUGAGGGGUGGGGGUGUUUAUUUAUAGGUAGAGAGAGCUAGGUGUGUCCAAAUGAGGAGCAGUUUUCGCCCACACAAUCAUGAUCGAACGGCGGAGAGGAUGGAGGGGAGUUAGAUGGGCUAGGUGGGCUUUGUGAAGAGGUGCUGGGCUGCAAAGAGAAGUGGUUUUCGGUUAACUCGGUUAACCAUUGGGGCAUCAAACGACCUCCAAAUGAAACGAAAUUUGACGGGCGGUCUACCGGUGAUAUACCAAGGCCACUCGGCAAAUCUCGGACCAUUCCGAGAACUUUUUUAUCCCGCUCACGAAACAAGGUCUGAGAGCGGCGACGGGCGCGCGCGAGUGUGGUUGGGCUCAGAACGGACAACGGAGAGAACCGGGGGAACCCGAACGGAUGCAAGUUUUGAAAAACAUGCAGAUGAAAUGCAGACGAUGACGUGGCAAAAUGCAACAUGCAAGGAAAUGACAUGGCAACGACGGCGAAUAACUGGAAGACACCUGGCGCAUCGGAUUCCGGGGCGUUACAUUAGGUCAUCCACUUGAGGGAAAUUUGCUACUGUCCUACAAACCUCUAUACUUGGAGGCCCAACAAUGUCUACAAGGAGAACGUUGUGUAGUAGACAUCAGCGACAUUCUGGCCUGCAAUUGUGCGACACUUUUGGGCAUCACUAGACAUGUCAAUUUUCCUGGACGAUUUGUAGUGUCACAGAAAAUGUUUCGUGUCACCAACAAUGUUGGUCGGGUUUAGAAAAAUUGAUAACAAAAUGGCUUGUUUGUGUUCAGAUCAUAGUACCUUAUAAAUUCUACCAUGGUAGAGUUUAUAGCAUAUCAGAAUCAAAUUUUUAGUGUUUAGAGUUGAGAUGCACAUAUCGAAAUCCAUUGAAUAUUUCUUCACAGAACAUACAUGUUCAUCAUCAUGACAUCAGUACCAAUAGUAGCAUAAAACAUGACAUACAUAGAUGGACGAUCACUGAGGCAACAUGAUAGAGAGUCAAAACUACUCCUCAUCUGGUUCAAUAGCAAUGAAGCAGAGGAAGAAAAAUGUCCCUGCACGUCCAUGGUGUAGCACGAAGAUCAUCUUGUCUCCUAUGUCCAUGUUGUACACGUCGACUACUUUGCGCCACCCAUUAAGGACGAUGCUUCCAUCUCUUUGUCCUAAAGUCGAGUAUGAAGUGGAACUGAUGUUCACUCUGGGAUGGAGAACAAUGGUCAGAUCUCCAUUUGCACCCAUCUCCUUAGUCACAACACAUUGCGGAAGAUCUGGUGGAAUAACACAAUUUGAACACUUUAAGCAAUCUACAUAAGUACUUGGACUAUCCGAAGAUAUUGAGAGUAGAUACAAUUCUAACCAUGAUUCCGUCGUCAAUGUUAGUCUUGUUCAAAGUGUGCAGCAGGGGCACGUAGGAAUGAUCUCUUGGUCCAGCAUUGUAACCGUCCGCAAGCAUCCAAAUUUGAUCAACAAAGCUGCUACUUCUUGAGCUUGCGUUGGUAUUUCCCUUGAAAGGGAAAGGGUGGUGCAGGAAAGUAGAGAUAAGUAUUUCCCUCAGUUAAGAACCAAGGUAUCAAUCCAGUAGGAGGAACACACACGUCUCCAAUCGUAGCACUUGCACAAACAAACGAACACUUGCACCCAACGCGAUAAAGGUGUUGUCAAUUCCUUCACGGUUACUUGCAAGGAUGAAUCUGAUAGAGAUAGGUAUAGAAGAUAAGUAAGAGUGAAAAAUAAAAUGAAGGUAAAUAAAUUGCAGCAAGGUAUUUGGUUUUUGGUUUUAUAGAUCUGAAAAUACUAUGAUAAGAAAAAGACCCGCGGGCCAUAACUUGUCUCUUGAAAGAACGCAUAUAGUGGGUGAACAAAUUACUGUUGAGCAAUUGGUAGAAAAGUGAAUAAUUAUGACGAUAUCUAAGGCAAUGAUCAGAAUAUAGGUAUCACGUCCAUGAGAAGUAGACUCACUCCCGCCUGCAUCUACUACUAUUACUCCACACAUCGACCGCUAUCCAGCAUGCAUCUAGUGUGUUAAGUUAACAAGAACAGAGUAACGCCUUAAGCAAGGAUAGAUCCAAUCAAUAUGAAUAAACCCCACCUUUUUAUCCUUAAUGGUAAUAAUACUAUACUUGUCAUGUCCCUUUCUUUCAUUAGGAUUGAGCACUGCAAGAUUGAACCCAAUACAAAACACCUCUCCCAUUGCAAGGAAAAUCAAUCUAGUUGGCCAAACCAAAUCAAUAGAUCGAUCAGAAAUACAAAGCUAUCUUAAUCAUGCAUAAAAGAGUUCAAAUAAUAUUCAUAGACAAUCUGAUCAUAAACCCAUAAUUCAUUGGAUCUCAACAAACGCAACGCAAAAGAAGAUUACGUCGAAUAGAUCUCCAAGAACAUCGAGGGGAAUAUUGUAUUGAAGAUCAAAGAGAGAGAAGAAGCCGUCUAGCUACUAGCUAUGGACCCAUACAUCUAUGGUAAACUACUCACACAUCAUCGAAAAGGGAAACAAGGUUGAUGUAGAGGCCCUCCUUGAUCGAACCCCCCUCCGGAAGAGUACCGGAACAGGUCUCUAGAUCGGAUCUCACAAGGACGGAAACUUGCGGUGGCAAAAAAGUAUUUUUUGGUGUGCCAUAUGGUAUACGGGGAAUAUUUGGGUAUUUAUGGAGUUGAUAUUAGGCUUGGAGAGGCAUCAGGGGCCCCACAAGCCUAGGGCGCCUCCUGAGCUUGUCGCCAACUAGUGGCCCCUCUUAUCCCCUCCCGAAGGUUCCUGGGUGUCUUCUAGUCCAAGAAAAAUCCUCAAAAAGUUUUGUUCCAUUUGGACUCGGUUUGGUAUUAAUUUUCUGUAGAAGACAAAAACAAGGAAAAAACAGCAACUGUCACUUGGCACUAGGUUAAUAGGUUAGUCCCAAAAAAUGAUAUAAAAUAACAUAAUAAUGCAUAUAAAACAUCCAAGAUGGAUAAUAUAAUAGCAUGGAACAAUAAAAAAAUUAUAGAUACGUUGGAGACGUAUCAAGCAUCCCCAAGCUUAAUUCCUGCUUGUCGUCGAGUAGGUAAAUGAUAAAAACAGAAUUUUUAUGCGGGAUGCUACCUAAAAUGUUUAUCUUGUAAUAAUUAUUUAUGUGGCAUGAUUCAAAUCCAUAAGAUUAAAAAAAGUUUAAUAUUGACAUAAAAACAAUAAUAUUUCAAGCAUACUAACAAGCAAUCAUGUCUUCUCAAAAUAUCAUGGCUAAAGAAAGUUUCCCUAAAAAUCAUAUAAUCUUGUCAUGCUCUAUCUUCUUAACACAAAGUUUUUAACAUGCACAACCCCGAUGAGAAGCCAAGCAAUUGGUUCAUACUUUGAGCCAUGGUGGAGGUUGUGUGGAGAAGACAAAAAAGGAUAAAGUCUCCCAUUGACGAGGCUAAUCAACAGGCUAUGGAGAUGCCCAUCAACUGAUGGCAAUGCAAGGAGUAGGGAUUGCCAUGCAAUGGAUGCACUAGAGCUAUAAAUGUAUGAAAGCUCAACAGAAAACUAAGUGGGUGUGCAUCCAACUUGCUCACGAAGACCUAGGGCAUUUGAGGAAGCCUAUCAUUGGAAUAUACAAGCCAAGUUCUAUAAUGAAAGAAUUCCCACUAGUAAUAUAUGAAAGUGACAAAAUAGGAGACUCUCUAUCAUGAAGAACAUGAUGCUACUUUGAAGCACAAGUGUGGAAAAGGAUAGUAACAUUGACCCUUCUCUCUUUUUCUCUCAUUUUUCCUUCUCUUUUCCUUCUCUUUUUUUCUUUUUAUUUUUUUACAUGGGCUCUUUGGCCCCUCGCUACUGCAGGUGGCUGCUAACGCGACACUACGGUCAGAGACCCUUCGACGAAACUGUGUGCGAUGCAAUAAUCACAAACGGUAAUGUAAAAAAUCGUCACAAAAGGUGCAAAAUGUUUGCGAUGACGGAUGCAUCAAACACUAUUUAGAUUUUAGUUGCCUGUGCAAUGCAGGGCAUACGGUUCAAUUCAAUGAACCGUUUGUGAUGAGGCAGAAGAACAGAAACGGGCAGCCAAAUGAAGGUGUGUGCGGUAUAUGACAUACAGUUCACUCAGAUGAACCGUUUUUGAUUAGGCGGAACAAAAGAAACGGUCAGCCAUAUCAAGGUGUGUGCGAUAGAGGGGAAAUAGUUCACUUGGAUGAACUGUUUGCGUUGAUCCAAGAUAACAGAAAUGGUUCAAUAUAACAAGAUGUGUGUGAUACAUGAUAAACAAGUUUGUAAUCAGAAAUGUGUGCGAAGACCGAUAAUAACACAGACGAUUGCCUCUAAUAAGACGUAUGUGAUAUGCUCUGUCUACACAACAUCUAUUGGCCAUUGGGCGACGGGCGGUCAUCCGGGUAUGACAUAAGGAUGCGAAGAGGCAUCCUAUAUCAGCAAGGACUAGUUGUUCCACCAAUAGCUCAUCUAAGAGAACUCUCAAGUUAAGUGUGCUCAGGCUGGAGCAGCCAUCAGAUGGGUAACUGGAUGGGAAGUUGUCUUGAUGUUAAAAUAACUGAUGGGAUGGGUCAUAGGGGUCAAAUUAAAUGACCUCUAUGAUCCAUCCCAUCAAUUAAAUUAACCUCGAGGUCCAUGUUUUUUAUUUUUUUUAUUUUUUAACACAUGUUAAAGAAGGUCUACCGCAUUAGUUUCUGAUAAUGUGCGAUACGUGGCAUACAGUUGAUCCAUCAGAGCUGUUUGUGAUGGAAUAAGCCGUGUGUGUUGUGGGCAAACACUUGCGAGUAUACAACCAUUUGCGAUUGAUGAAUUCAUCACCGACGGGUUCCCUAGUGUGGUCCGUGUUCAUUUGAUCAUCAUAUACUUCUUGUGCUAACUCGAUGUUCCUUCUAUGCUAAGUUUCCAUUAAUUGAUGGCAUUUUAUGAACACGCCACAGUUUCCCACCAUUUGCUCACUUGUUUCCCACCACCCAGCGAUAUUGCGCAUAAACCUAGGCGGCGCGCCAUGCACGGAGGCAACAAGCGCAACCUGUAGCACAUCCUCCUUUUCCAAGCAUGCCAACCCACCAAAGCGCGCCUUUGCCAUCAACCUCGUCGAUGAGGAAAACAAGAAGGCGCCACGGCCCGUUGAGGCCGAGGCGCUCCCCGGCAACGCGAUGGACGAUGCCGUGAUGCGUGAUAUGUCUCCAACGUAUCUAUAAUUUUUGAUUGUUCCAUGCUAUUAUAUUAUUUUGGAUGUGUUUUGGAUGUUGUAUAUGCAUUAAUAUGCUAUUUUAUAUUAUUUUUGGGACUAACCUAUUAACCUAAGCCCAGUGCCAGUUUCUGUUUUUUUGCCUAUUUUUGAGUUUCACAGAAAAGGAAUACCAAACGGAGUCCAAACGGAAUAAAACUUUCACAAUGAUCUUUCUUGGACCAGAAGCAAACCAGGAGACUUGGAGAUGAAGUCAGUGUUGGGAACAUAGCAUGCAAUUUCUAAAAAUUUACUAUGCUCACGCAAGAUCUAUCUAGGAGAUGCAUAGCAACGAGAGGGGGAGAGUGUGUCCACGUACCUUGGUAGACCGAAAGCGGAAGCGUUUGCUUAACGCGGUUGAUGUAGUAGAACGCCUUCAUGUUCCGACCGAUUGAGUACCGAAUGUACGACACCUCCGAGUUCUGCACACGUUCAGCGCGAUGACGUCCCUCGCGAUCUUGAUCCAGCAAAUGGUCGAAGGAAGUAGAUGAGUUCUGUCAGCACGACGGUGUGGUGACGGUGAUGGUGAUGUGAUCCGCGCAGGGCUUCGUCUAAGCACCGCGAGAAUAUGACCGGAGUCGUAAACUGUGGAGUGAGGCGCCGCACACGGCUUGGAGCAAUUGGUGUGUCUCAUAGGGACACCCCCCAUAUGUAAAGGAGGGAGGGAGAGGAGGCCGACCCUAGGCGCGCCAAGUGGGAGGAGUCCCACUUGGACUCCUAGUUGGAUUCGCCCCCCCUUUCGUUUUACCAUAGGGGGAAGGGGGAAGGAGAGGGAGUAGGAGAAGGAAAGGGGGGCGCCGGCCCCACCCCUUGUCCAAUUCGGCCUCGUCCCUUGUGGGGGGCACGCCAGCCCUUGUGGGAUGGUUAGCCUCCUUCCUACGGCCCAUAUCUUUCCCCGGGGGGUUCCGGUAACCCCUCCGGUACUCUAGUAUGUACCCAAUACAUUCCGGAACCCUUCCGGUGUCCGAAUUCUAGCGACCAGACCUCAAACAGUCUGAUCUCUGUGCAUCAGUGUCAUCCCUGGAUCAGUAAUGCUGACACGCACAAUACUCAAAGGAUUUAUAACAGAGUAGCAAUCAGAUACUUAUUACAUCGAAUGUCUCAAAAGAGAGCUUAUUACAAUAAAUAUGGCUUAAGGCCAUCUAAUAACGAUAACAGCGGAAGGCUUGGAAGAUAAGUGAGUCCAUCAACUCCAACGGCAUCACUGUGUAUAGAACCACGAUCCUAAGGCAUCUUACUUGUCGUCUGAAAAGUCUGCAACAUGAACGUUGCAGCCCGAAAACGGGUCAGCAUAUGGAAUAUGCUGGCAAUGUGACACAUAGGGGGUAAUGAAAGAAUAAAGCUAUUCUACAUCCAUAUAUGGCUGGUGGAAAACUCUAUGGUUACAGUUUUUGCAUAAAGCCAGCUUUUCCCUACUGCAAAGGAAUAAAUUUAUUUAACUAUCAUUGUGGUUGUUAAACAUUGAGAAUGGUUGACAACAUUCUCAAUCCCAAUUAGAAAUAAUCAUCAUUAAACAAACCCAACAAUAUUAAUUAAAAUAACAUGUUGAGAUUCACAGGAUAAUCCAAGUACUAGAUACUCAAGAUGUCCAUAACCGGGGACACGAAUAAUCAUGAUUAGUUUUUACACUCUGCAGAGGUUUGCGCACUUUUCCCCACACGACUCGAUCUCCUCCGUUGGUUUUCUCGCACUACAUGGUGUUUGAGAAACGGAUGACCGAGACAUAGUCUUUCAGAAGCACUAGCACCUUACGAUGGGUAGACCUGUACACCUACUUUCCCCUACAUCUGCUAGUCUACCACUGCAAGAGUUCGCACGACUUAGUCAACUAUGCUAGAGCCGUUAAUAGCAUGUGGCUGCACACGGAAGUUUCUAGCAUGAAUAAUCUUAUGAUCCCUUUGAGCCUAGGUGGCGGUCCAAAAACAAACAGGCAAUCCUGGAAUACCCAGGUACCUCAAUCCACCCAGAUGUGUAUUAAAGUUACCACCUUAAAUAAACCAUUAAUUAACAAUCUCACAUCUGUCAUGGAUACACUCACCCAAUCCACGUCUACUAGCAUAGCAUGGCAUAAUAAGCAAACGUAGAAGUAACUCCCAAGGGUUUGAUAUUAAAACAGGUAAUAGGUACUACCUCAUCUACUUCCCAAAACCCACAUAUUAAUCAGAUCCUAAUCAUGCAAUUGUUUGAGGAUUGAUCUAAUGCAUAAAACUGGGUAAUAGAUAAGUAUGAUCAAAGUGUUACUUGCCUUGCUGAUGAUCCACGAAACCUACGGAUUCGAAGUAGCAAGCGGUGCAAUCCGGGUACUCUAUCGCGAACAAACAAACAAGCAAACAUUAAGUACUCAUAUAAUGCAUAGGUAAAACUCAAAUAAGAGAUCUAACCAGAAAGUUUAACUUAAGAACUCUGGUUUGCAAAAAGAAUCAAAUCGAACAAAACAACAAAACUCAAAUGGCAAAAGAAACAAGCUUCGCUUACUAAUCUGGACCUAAGUCAAAUUUUACGGAAGCAAAAACUUGUUUGAGUAGAUUAUUCGGAAAGAGGGUUUCGAGACGAAACUCUAGGUGCUUGAAUCGCCUGAUUCCGAUAAACGAGCGAAAAGUUAUACUAAAACGAAAAUCGGAUCAGAUACCGCGAUCAGAAAAAUCGCGGAAUAAAUCCGAGAAAAAAGAAAAACGACGAACAGAUUAACGAACGAACGUUCAUUAUCUGGAUCUAAAUGAUAAACGCGUUUGUUAAAAUGAAUGAACGAGCGAACGCUCACUAAUUAAACUAAACCGAAAAAAUGAUCUAAUAAAAAUGAUCUAAAAAAACCCGACGAAAAACCGACGGAAAAACCGAACGAUUUUUCUAAAAAAAGGCGGUGGCUCGGGUCAACCUUGGGGUGCGUGUCCGGCGGCGACGGCGGGCGGCGGCGGGCGGCGGCGGGCUAGGGUUAGGGUUGGCGGCAACGGCGACUUGGGCUGGGGGCGGGGCGCGGCUUGGGCUGGGGUCGGCCCGGGCGCGGUAUAAAAAGACCACAGCCAGGCGGAGUCCUGGCUGGUUACCACCCAAGGUCGGUUCUGACUUUUUUUAAAAUAAUUUUCGUGCAGAAAAUCAAACGAAAGAAAUACUAAACGGACUCCAAAAAUCCUGAAAUAAAAUUUCCCUGGCUUUUAAAAUCAAGCCGGUUUAGAUGAACAUUUAUUUGAGCCUAAAUGCAAUUUUGAAAAACACGCAUUUUUCCUAAAUUCAAAUAAAAUAGCAAUAAAAUCCAAAAUAAAUUUUAUUUGAUUUUUUUAUUAAAUCCUCAAUAUUUCUUUAUUUUGGGGAAGUCAUUUUAUUCCCUCUCUCAUAAUUUAUAAUUUGAAAUAAUUGAAGAUAAAAUAAAUAAAAUCAAAUGAUCCUAUUUCCAAAAUUUGAGAAAACUCAAAUAUGAAAUUUUCAAAAUCCCCAACUCUCUCCAUGGGUCCUUGAGUUGCGUAAAAUUUCUAGGAUCGAGGCAAAAUGCAAUAAAUAUGAUAUGCAAUAAUGAUCUAUUUGUAUAACAUUCCAAAUUGAAAAUUUGGGAUGUUACAAACCUACCCCCCUUAAGAUGAAUCUCGCCCUCGAGAUUCGGGUUGGCUAGAAAAUAGGUGAGGGUGGUCCUUCAGCAGAUCUUCCUCUCUCUCCUAGGUGGCUUCAUCCUCGGUGUGGUGGCUCCACUGAACUUUGCAAAACUUGAUAACCUUGCUGCGGGUGACUCGGCUGGCAUACUCAAGAAUCUUAACUGGUUUCUCCUCAUAGGUCAAAUCGCUGUCCAACUGAAUUGCCUCUAGCGACAUGGUAUCUCUUAGCGGUAUAUCAGCCAUCUCUGCGUGGCACUUCUUCAACUGAGAAACGUGGAACACAUCAUGAACUCCUGACAAUCCCUCAGGCAAUUCCAACUUGUAGGCAACUUCUCCCAUACGCUCCAAAACUUUGUAUGGUCCCACAAAACGUGGUGCUAACAUUCCCUUAACUCCAAAACGCUUAUCUCCUCGAAGUGGUGAUACACGAAGAUAGACUCUAUCUCCGACUUCGUAGACUGUCUCCUUGCAUUUUGAAUCUGCAUAGCUUUUCUGCCUGGACUGGGCUACCUUGAGCCUGUCGCGAAUCAACUUCACCUUCUAUUCAGACUCCUUAAUCAAAUCCGGUCCAAACAACUGGCGGUCUCCAAAUUCAUCCCACGAUAACAGGGUCCUGCACCUCCUUCCGUAUAGGGCUUCAAAAGGGGCCAUCUUCAAACUGGAUUGAUAACUGUUGUUGUAAGAGAACUCUGCAUAUGGCAAAUUGUCAUCCCAACUAGAUCCGUAAUCUAGCGCACAAGCUCUCAGUGUAUCUUCCAAAAUCUGAUUGACUCUUUCAGUCUGUCCAUCUGUCUGUGGAUGAAAAGUUGUACUGAACUCUAGCCUGGUACCCAAAGUUUCGUGCAACUGAUUCCAAAACUUUGAGGUAAACUGGGUUCCUCUAUCUGAUACGGUGCUCCUCGGAACUCCAUGCAGACAUACGAUCCUGGUCAUGUAUAUCUUGGCCAACUUAGCACUGGUGUAAGUGGUCUUCACUGGGAUGAAAUGAGCUACCUUCGUCAAACGAUCGACUACAACCCAAAUCGAGUCAUAGCCUGAAUGAGUCCUGGGCAAUCUUGUGAUAAAAUCCAUGCUUAGUUUAUCCCACUUCCAUUCGGGUAUCAUCAUUGGUUGUAACAAUCCUGCUGGCUUCUGAUGCUCUGCCUCUACUCUCUGACAUACAUCACAAACUGCUACAUACUCCGCAAUAUCCUUCUUCAUUCCGGUCCACCAGAAAGUGCCCUUCAAAUCCAAAUACAUCUUGGUAUUUCCUGGGUGAAUCGAGUACGAUGAAUCAUGGGCCUCUUGUAGAAUCAAAUUCCUGAUCUCCGGGUGAUUAGGCACAUAAACACGGUCUUCAAACCAUAAGGUAUCGUGCUCAUCCUCUCGAAAACCUUUAGCUUUACCUUUGCUCAUCUUCUCCUUUAUCUCGGCAAUUUCCUUUUCGGUCUUCUGGGCUUCUCUGAUCUUAUCCAUCAAAGUCGACUGAAUCUCCAAUGCUGCUACAUAGCCUCUUGGAACUAUCUCUAAACAUAGUUCGCAAAGAUCCUCGGCUAACUCCUUUGGCAACCCUGCGGUCAUGAGUGUAUUGACAUGGCUCUUACGGCUCAACGCAUCGGCUACUACGUUAGCCUUUCCGGGGUGAUACUGCAACCUCAUAUCAUAAUAUUUGAUGAGCUCCAACCAUCUCCUUUGCCUGAGAUUCAACUCCUUCUGCGUGAAAAUGUACUUCAAACUCUUGUGAUCCGUGUACACCUCACAAUGAUUUCCGAUAAGGAAAUGUCUCCAAGUCUUCAACGCAUGCACUACGGCUGCUGACUCCAAAUCAUGCGUGGCAUAAUUCAACUCAUGAGAUUUAAGCUGUCGUGAAGCAUACGAAACAACUCUUCCCUCCUGCAUAAGUACUGCUCCAAGUCCUCAACGUGAAGCGUCGCAAUACACCUCGUAAUCCUUGCUCUGAUCUAGCAGAAUCAACACUGGCGAGGUAACUAGACGUUCCUUCAACUCCUGGAAACUGGCCUCACAUUCCUCAGUCCAAAUGAACUUGGUAUCCUUCUUUAACAAUUCCGUCAUGGGCUUCACAAUCUUAGAGAAAUUCUCAAUGAAUCUCCGGUAGUAUCCUGCCAGUCCCAGAAAACUUCUAAUCUCUCCAACUGUCGUUGGUGCUACCCAAUUUGUCAUGGUGACAACCUUUGUGGGGUCUACUGCUAUUCCUUCUUUGGAUGUAACAUGUCCGAGGAAUCCAACUUCCUUCAACCAAAAUUCACACUUGCCGAACUUGGCGUAUAACUGGUGUUCUCUGAGUUUCUCCAAUACCAAAUGCAAAUGCUCCUUGUGCUCUUCUUCAUUCUUUGAGUAGACCAAAAUAUCAUCAAUGAACACCACGACGAACUUAUCCAGAAACUCCAUAAACACCUUGUUCAUCAUGUUCAUGAAAUAGGCAAGUGCGUUAGUCAGACCAAAUGACAUAAUAGUAUACUCGUACAACCCAUACCUGGUGGUAAAAGCCGUCUUAGGUAUAUCCUGCUCUUGAAUCUUCAACUGAUGGUAUCAUGAUCGCAAAUCGAUCUUGGAAAAUACCUUUGCUCCUUGCAAUUGGUCAAACAGGUCAUUGAUCAUUGGCAGUUGGUACUUGUUCUUGAUUUUUACUGCAUUCAAUCCUCGAUAGUCAACAACCAUCCUCAAUGACCCGUCCUUCUUCUCCACUAGAAGUAUUGGCGAUCCCCAAGGCGAAGAACUUGGGCGAAUAUAACCUUUAUCCAGUAAAUCCUUAAUCUGAUUCUUAAUCUCCUCCAAAUCUUUUGCCAGCAUCCUGUAUGGUCUCUUGGAUAUUGGUCCUGUGCGUGGCAAAAGCUCAAUCAAAAACUCAAUGUCUCUAUCCGGUGGCAUGCCUGGCAACUCUUCUAGAAAUACAUAAGGAAAAUCCUUCACUACUGGUACUUCCUCCUGCACAACUCCUGAUAAGGAAUUUACGUGCAUCCUCUUCGGCUCAUGUCUUGAUACAUACCUCAUCCUUCUCCCUUCUGGGGUAGUAAGCAAAAUCGACUUACUGGCGCAAUCGAUGUUUCCUCCAUACAUCGAUAGCCAAUCCAUACCCAUAAUCACAUCCAAACCUUGAGAUUCCAAAAUGAUUAAAUCUGAGGGGAAGACACGCUUGCCUAUUCUCAAUGGCACUUGAAAACAUCCUCGACUGGCCAUAUACUCCGCUCCUGGUGAGGUUACUAGCAUGGGUGUUCCUAGAACCUUGGUGGGCAGUUUAUACUUAUCCACAAAUCCCCUUGAUAUGCAUGAAUGUGAUGCACCAGUAUCGAAAAGAAUGAGUGCAGUAAAUGACUUAACCAAAAACUUACCUAUUACUGCAUCUGGUUGGGCUUCAAUCUCCUCCACAUUAACGUGGUUCACCUGUCCCCGGUUGAAAGGGUUCGGCUUCUUCCCAGAGCUUCCAUUGCCAUUUCCAAUUCUGACCUUCAGGACAUUCAUUGGCGUAAUGUCCAGUCUUCUGGCACUUAAAGCAAGUGACUUAACUCAAAUCUCUCUUGGCUGGUGUUGAGGGAUGGUACGGUUCUGGCCAUUGCUUCCUCCAUUCCCAUUACCAUUCUUGGAACCAUUAUGGCUGUGUGAGCUACCACCUCCAUGGGUAUGCUGGAACUGUCCUCCCGAUUUCAGGGUGAAACGUGGCUUCUGCUGAGCUCCAGAAUUGUACUUCCCUUGUCCAUACUUCCUCUUGCGGUUUUCGAUCUGUUGCUGCUUCCCUUCAAUCAUGAGAGCUCUAUCUACCAACCCCUGGUAGUUAUUGAAACUUGCAACCAUCAACUGCAUACUCAGCUCAUCAUUCAGUCCUUCCAGAAACUUCUCUUGCUUAGCUGCAUCCGUAGCAACGUCAUCUAGGGCAUAACGUGCUAGCUUACUGAAGUCAUCCACAUACUGGCCAACUGUACGUCCUCCCUGGCGUAAGUUGUGAAUCUCACGCUUCUUCAUGGCCAUAGCUCCUGCUGAAACAUGAGUGGUAUGGAAAGCCUGCUGAAACUGAUCCCAUGUGACUGUGUCUAUUGGUUAGUGUUGGGGAACGUAGUAAUUUCAAAAAAAAUCCUAUGCACACGCAAGAUCAUGGUGAUGCAUAGCAACGAGCGAGGAGAGUGUGUCUACGUACCCUCGUAGACCGAAAGCGGAAGCGUUAUGACAACGUGGUUGAUGUAGUCGUACGUCUUCACGAUCCGACCGAUCCAAGCACUGAACGUACGGCACCUCCGAGUUCAGCACACGUUCAGCUCGAUGACGAUCCCAGGACCCCGAUCCAGCAGGGUGUCGGGGAUGAGUUCCGUCAGCACGAUGGCGUGGUGACGAUGAUGAUGUUCUACCGAUGCAGGGCUUCGCCUAAGCACCGCUACGAUAUGACCGAGGUGGAAUAUGGUGGAGGAGGGCACCGCACACGGCUAAGGAACGAUCACGAAGAUCAACUUGUGUGUUAUGGGGUGCCCCCCUGCCCCCAUAUAUAAAGGAGCCAAGGGGAAGGGGGCGGCCGGCCAAGGAGGGCGCGCCAAGGAGGAGUCCUACUCCCACCGGGAGUAGGAUUCCCCCCCUUCCAAGUAGUAGGAGUAGGAGUCAAGGAAAGGGGGAAGAGAAGAGAAGGAAGGAGGGGGCGCAGCCCCUCCCCCUAGUCCAAUUCGGACUAGGCCUUGGGGGGGCGCCCAGCCUCUCCUCUCUCUUUCCCCUAAAGCCCAAUAAGGCCCAUAUACUCCCCGGCGAAUUCCCGUAACUCUCCGGUACUCCGAAAAAUACCCGAAUCACUCGGAACCUUUCCGAACUCCGAAUAUAGUCGUCCAAUAUAUCGAUCUUUACGUCUCAACCAUUUCGAGACUCCUCGUCAUGUCCCCGAUCUCAUCCGGGACUCCGAACUCCUUCGGUACAUCAAAACUCAUAAACUCAUAAUAUAACUGUCAUCGAAACCUUAAGCGUGCGGACCCUACUGGUUCGAGAACUAUGUAGACAUGACCGAGACACGUCUCCGAUCAAUAACCAAUAGCGGAACCUGGAUGCUCAUAUUGGCUCCCACAUAUUCUACGAAUAUCUUUAUCGGUCAAACCGCAUAACAACAUAUGUUGUUCCCUUUGUCAUCGGUAUGUUACUUACCCGAGAUUCGAUCGUCGGUAUCCAAUACCUAGUUCAAUCUCGUUACCGGCAAGUCUCUUUACUUGUUCCGUAAUACAUCAUCUCACAACUAACUCAUUAGUCACAUUGCUUGCAAGGCUUAUAGUGAUGUGCAUUACCGAGAGGGCCUAGAGAUACCUCUCCGACAAUCGGAGUGACAAAUCCUAAUCUCGAAAUACGCCAACCCAACAUGUACCUUCGGAUACACCUGUAGAGCUCCUUUAUAAUCACCCAAUUCCUUGUGACGUUUGGUAGCACACAAAGUGUUCUUCCGGUAAACGGGAGUUGCAUAAUCUCAUAGUCAUUGGAACAUGUAUAAGUCAUGAAGAAAGCAAUAGCAAUAUACUAAACGAUCGGGUGCUAUGCUAACAGAAUGGGUCAAGUCAAUCACAUCAUUCUCCUAAUGAUGUGAUCCCGUUAAUCAAAUGACAACUCUUUUGUCCAUGGCUAGGAAACUUAACCAUCUUUGAUUCACGAGCUAGUCAAGUAGAGGCAUACUAGUGACACUAUGUUUGUCUAUGUAUUCACACAUGUAUUAUGUUUCCGGUUAAUACAAUUCUAGCAUGAAUAAUAAACAUUUAUCAUGAUAUAAGGAAAUAAAUAAUAACUUUAUUAUUGCCUCUAGGGCAUAUUUCCUUCAGUCUCCCACUUGGACUAGAGUCAAUAAUCUAGUUCACAUUACCAUAUGAUUUAACACUAAUAUUCACAUCUGCAUGUGAUUAACACCCAUAGUUCACAUCAUCAUGUGAUCAACACCCAAAGGGUUUACUAGAGUCAAUAAUAUAGUUCACAUCGCUAUGUGAUUAACACCCAAAGAGUACUAAGGUAUGAUCAUGUUUUUUGUUCGUGAGAGAAGUUUAGUCAACGGGUCUGUCACAUUCAGAGUCGUAUGUAUUUUGCAAAUAUUCUAUGUUUACAAUGCUCUGCACGGAGCUACUCUAACUAAUUGCUCCCACUUUUAAUAUGUAUCCAGAUUGAGACUUAGAGUCAUCUGGAUCGGUGUAAAAGCUUGCAUCGAUGUAACUCUUUACGACGAACUCUUUUAUCACCUUCAUAAUCGAGAAACAUCUCCUUAGUCUUUACUAAGGAUAUUCUUGACCGAUGUCCAUUAAUCUACUCCUAGAUCACUAUUGCACCCCCUUGCCAAUACUUAGUGGUAGGGUAUGCAACAGAUCUGGUGCACAGCAUGGCAUACAUUAUAGAACCUAUGGCUGAGGCAUAGGGAAUUGAAAGUGCUAGUUAUCGACUAGAGGGGGGGGGGGUGAAUAGGCGAUUUUUAUGAAAGUCUUCAAAACAUGGAAGUUUCGAAGACAAACAAUGGAAACAACCUAAUUGAUAUGCAGCAGAAGAUAAACUACAACAAGCAAGCCAUAAUUAAAAAUGCAAUAGCAUUAACGUUCGAAGAUUAAUAGCAGCUAGGUAGUAGGAUCAGGAUGGAAGAUAGUAUGAAGCCAAUCAACAAUAGUAGUCAAGCAAUGAAGUCAAUCAGAUAAGACGAUAAGCAAUGACUUCACAAAGACAAACUCAAGUAAAGGAGGGAAGAGAUAGAACCAGUUGCUUGUUGAAGACACAUGAUUUGUUGGACCAGUUCCAGUUGCUAUGACAACUGUACGUCUGGUUAGGGAGGCUGCGAUUCAACUUAGAAGACCGUGUCUUCACCUUAUUCCCCUUGAGCUAAGGUCACUUAGUCCUCGCCCAAUCACUCUGGUAAGUCUUCAAGGUAGACUUCCAAACCUUCACAGACUUCGUUCAUCCGGCAAUCCACAAUGACUCUUGGAUGCUUAGAACGCGAUGCCUAACCGGCUGGAGGAUACACAGUCCUCAAGUGUAAUAAGUCUUCAGGUCACAUAGACAGAAAGACUUCAGUGAUGCCUAACACUCUUUGGCUCUGGGUGUUUGGGCUUUGUCCUCGCAAGGAUUUCUCUCUCUCAAAUGCUUCGAGGUGGGUUGCUCUCAAACGACAAAAGCCGUAUACUAACUCUGAGCAGCCACCAAUUUAUGGUGUAGGGGGUGGGCUAUUUAUAGCCACUAGGCAACCCGACCUGAUUUGUCCGAAAUGACCCUGGGUCACUAAGGAACUGACACGUGUUCCAAUGGUCAGAUUUCAAACACACACGGCAACUUUACUUGGGCUACAAGCAAAGCUGACUCAUCCAACUCUGGAUAAGAUUUGCUCUCAUUGUCUUCGCUCGAAGACAUAGGAUUUGGGUUGAGCAUCACUUCAGUCACUCUGACUUAGUUCACUUGGACCCCACUUAACAGUACGGUGGUUCCAAUGACUCAACAAAGAAGAAAAGGAAACAACGAAACCACAUAGUCUUCAUGCUCCAUAGUCUUCACGCAAUGUCUUCUCAUGUCAUAGUCUUCAAUAUGAAUAUCUUCUCAUACGACCAUUAUCGUCAAUGUCUUCAUACAUUUUUAGGGGUCAUCUCCGGUAGGUAAACCGAAUCAAUGAGGGACACUACCCGCGUUAUCCUGCAAUUCUCACAAACGCAUUAGUCCCUCAACCAACUUUGUCGUCAAUACUCCAAAACCAACUAGGGGUGGCACUAGAUGCACUUACAAUCUCCCCCUUUUUGGUGAUUGAUGACAAACUGGUUGAAGUUUUCAACGGGGAUAAAGUAUGUGAAAUUGUAAAGGAUAGGAAUUUGUCUUCAUAGGUAGCAAGGGCUCCCCCUGAAGAUGUGCAUAUAAAUAAUUUUGCUUUUGGAAUGCAAAUGCACAUGGCAGGUUGUACUUGUGGAGAUCCACUUCAACUUAUGAAGAUAAUUCAUCAUGAAUGAAAUGAUAUAUCAUAUAGGAUGACAUGCAUAAUGAAAAAUGGACGUCUGCAAGAUGAUCUAAGUGCGGAAGUUAUCAUCGCACAUGGAAAUGCAAAUAAGUAGUAGACGACCAUCAAGUUUAAGUGUUACAACUCAGAGAACCAAAUGUUUCAAAACGCAAGAGUUGUAAGCACGAGGCAAAAUAUAACGCAACCGCCCAUAUGAACCCGCUUGAAGACUAUCAACUCAUACGCUUCUCCCCCUUUUGUCAGUAAUGACCAAAAAGGUUUGAAGACAUAGAGCAUCUACUCGUCUUCUUGAUGAGUAGGUGAAGCAGCAGGGUUGUCGUCGUUGGGUGGCGGUGCAGAUGAACUUGGUGCAGUGUCGAUGCGCGGAGUAGUAGUUGGAGGUGGUGAAGUAGCAUCAUUUUCAUCAUUGAUCACUCUGGCAUUUACCGUUGCCGCGGAGGAAGAAUAUUCAGAGUCUUCAAGAGAUGGAGUUCUUCGUAAGGCAGCAUUCCAUGGAGGAGUGGAGUCAAACUGAAAUAUUUCAUUGAAGCCAUCGUCUUGAAGAUCUGCUUCAGCACUAAGCAGGGUCAAACUCUUCCAUGAUCGCUGGCAAGUUUCGUGAGCAACAAAGGCAUUCUUGGUGGCAAGGUUGCGAAUGCGAUUGACAUCCACCAAGAGGCUUUGCAUCUGUCUCUUGAGCCAAAAGUGAUGUUUAUCCUGUUUUUGGUGAAGGGCCACAAGAAGUUCUCGAUCAUUGAGAACGCGAGAACGCUUCCGAGGCCUUUGGGCAAUGGUGCUUUCAGUGGCUUCAGUAGGUGCUCGAUGAGGCAGACGAGUAUUUCCAGCCAAUGGAUAGAUUCGUGUAGCUGCUUGAACACCUUCAAUGGGUUGAGUGAAGCUUUGGUGCUCGGCAUUCUGAAGACAAAGAGGCUUCUUGGCUGGGUCAGGAUAUAUGGCUUCAACUGACAUAUCAACCUCAGGUAGAAAAAUCACAUGAUUGCGAGCAGAAGGUUGAUAGUUGACAGUAGAGUGUCGCUUUAUGAGGCGCAUGACCCAUGGAGCAUAAAACUUCAGACCAAAGAGAUUAGAGCCGGAGGCAGCAAGUUGUCUGAUGAAGAAAUCUUGUGCAUUGAAGCUCAUGCCAUUGAAAAUGUAGAAGACCAAAGUCUUCAUAGCUCCUUCAAGCUUUGCCACUGAUGAAUGUCCUUUGAUAGGCCAUAGAGUCUGCCUGAUGAUGUGAUAUAUGGUGCGUGGCAGAUACUCAAGGUCUUCAACAAAGAACUCAGUUGAAUAUUCAGCGUCACGGGGCAAAGGCUUCAUCAUGCUCAGCAUCUGACUCAUAUUGGGUUCAGGCCUAUGAAAGAUGCUUUCCAGGGCAUUGCGAUGAUGUUGACAGCCAGGUUCAUAGAGUUCUCCGGGAGUGGACAUGCCUGUAAGCUCGAUGAUAUCCAUAGCUUUGGCUUCAUGAUGAACGUUUCCGGUCAUCCACUCGAGAACCCAAGUCUUCGUAUCUCUGUUGUAGCCGCGAAUGUGUAGUGUGGCAUAGAAUUGAAGCAAUAGUUCUUCAUUCCAGUGUUCUUUAUCUGUGACAAAACUGAGCAGCCCAGCAUCACGAAAGCAGUCAAGUGCUUCUUCUAAGCAGGGGAGUCUAGUAAUGGCUUUAGUAUCGAGGCGCACAUGAGGGAAGAUGCGCCCUUGAUCAUACAGAGCACAAGAGUAAUAGCUUUGCUGCUGAUGACUCCAGAACCGAUCUGAUGCAAUUCUUGGCUUCGUGUAGGGGUUCUUUGAGCUAUCAAAGAAUGUGUUGUGGCUCUUGAAGCCAUUUGCAUUGAAGGACCCGACAACGGUGGCAGUACCAGGAAACCUUGGCAGUCUUGGCUUGGGCUUCUGGACUUGAGGUCUAUGCUCAACAUGAUAGUCAAAUUGAGGACCAGAGACAUUAGGCGGAGGGACCAGAACGGGCCAUCUGACUGUUGUUAGCUCUCCGUGGUUAUAUGCCUGCUCAAUUGUAUAGGGCCUUGGUGGCGGAACAGGAGCAGUGGCAGCAACUGAGGCUUCAGGCUGCACAACAGGUGCUUCAGAAGCAGUAGCCUCACUAGUUUCAGGUGCAGUGGCCGCAUUAGCGUCAGGCACACUGGUUGUUGCAAGCUACACUUUAGCUUCAACCAUGACAAUGUCAUUGGCUUCACUUGCGUUGGUUGUGGCAGCUUCAGAAUUUUCAACCUCCACUUGAGGUGCUGGAGGGUCAGGCAUUGACACGUUCACUUCAUGAACUAUUUCUUCAGGAAUGGGGGGAGUAGAGACACGUUCUUCUUGACGCUCUUCAUCGGCUGAUGCAGCCGGAUUGUCUUCAGCAGCAGGUGCUUCAGACGCAGAGACAUUCACAGCAAGAGUGGCUUCUGAAAACACUUGACGUGCGAUAGGUUGAUGAUGCACUUCUCCUUCUGGAACACUCGGAAGAGGAUCUUGAGGCCUUGGUCCUUUGUGAAGCCUUUGAAGUACUGGCGACGCUUUUGGAGAUGGAGUGGGCAGGCCCUCAUCCUCUUCAACUUGUAUGGAUGUUGUGACUUGUUGUUGUUGGGGAGUGUUGGGGGAGUCUUGUUCUUGCGGGCGAUCAGCCCAUGAAUCAUCCUGUGCAAUUGGCAUCAAAGGACGACCAAUGCUGAUGAGUUCGCUGUUCGUACGAACAGGCGAUGAUACCACAUUGUAUUCGAUCUGAGGAAGAACUUCAUCAUCUUCAACAUUGUCAUGACGACCAAUGUCUUCAGUGUUGGGGAACGUUGCAGAAAAUUAAAAAUUUUCCUACGGUUUCACCAAGAUCCAUCUAUGAGUUCAUCUAAGCAACAAGUCAUGGGAGAGAGAUUGCAUCUACAUACCACUUGUAGAUUGCAUAUGGAAGCGUUCGAGGGAACGGUGAUGAUGGAGUCGUACUCGUCGUGAUUCAGAUCACCGAUGACCAAGUGCUGAACGGACAUCACCUCCGCGUUCAACACACGUACGGUACGGAUGACGUCUCCUCCUUCUUGAACCAUCAAGGGGGAAGGAGAGGUUGAGGAAGAAGGCUCCAGCAGCAGCACGACGGCGUGAUGAUGGUGGAGAGGCAGUACUCCGACAGGGCUUCGCCAAGCGCACAACGGAGGAGGAGAGGUGUUGGGCAGGGGAGGGGCUGCGCCUUGGAUCAGGUGUUCAGCCCUCCCCUCGCCCCUCUAUUUAUAGGGGAAGGGGAAAGGGGGCCGGCCCCCUCUAGAUGAGAUCUAGAGGGGGGGGGGGGCGGCCAGGGAGGGGGCUUGCCCCCCAAGCAAAAGGGGUGCGCCCCCUUUAGGGUUCCCCCCCCAACCCUAGGCGCAUGGGCCCAAGGGGGGGCGCCCAGCCCUCCAGGGGCUGGUUCCCUGCCCCAUGCGGCCCAUGUGGCCCACCAAGAGGGGUGGCCCCUCCCGGUGGACCCCCGGAACCCCUCCGGUGGCCCCGGUACAAUACCGAUAUGCCCCCGAAACUUUCCGGUGUCCGCAUGACAACUUCCCAUAUAUAAAUCUUUACCUCCGGACCAUUCCAGAACUCCUCGUGACGUCCGGGAUCUCAUCCGGGACUCCGAACAACAUUCGGUAAUCACAUACAAGUCUUCCUAAUAACCCUAGCGUCAUUGAACCUUAAGUGUGUAGACCCUACGGGUUCGGGAGACACGCAGACAUGACCGAGACGGCUCUCCGGUCAAUAACCAACAGCGGGAUCUGGAUACCCAUGUUGGCUCCCACAUGCUCCUCGAUGAUGUCAUCGGAUGAACCACGAUGUCGAGGAUUUAAUCAACCCCGUAUGCAAUUCCCUUUGUCAGACGGUAUGUUACUUGCCCGAGACUCGAUCGUCGGUAUCCCAAUACCUCGUUCAGUCUCGUUACCGGCAAGUCACUUUACUCGUACCGUAAUGCAUGAUCCCGUGACCAGACACUUGGUCACUUUGAGCUCAUUAUGAUGAUGCACUACCGAGUGGGCCCAGUGAUACCUCUCCGUAAUCCGGAGUGACAAAUCCCAGUCUCGAUCCAUGUCAACACAACAGACACUUUCGGAGAUACCUGUAGUGCACCUUUAUAGUCACCCAGUUAUGUUGUGACGUUUGGUACACCCAAAGCACUUCUACGGUAUCCGGGAGUUACACGAUCUCAUGGUCUAAGGAAGAGAUACUUGACAUUGGAAAAGCUCUAGCAAAACGAACUACAUGAUCUUGUGCUAUGCUUAGGAUUGGGUCUUGUCCAUCACAUCAUUCUCCUAAUGAUGUGAUCCCAUUGUCAAUGACAUCCAAUGUCCAUAGUCAGGAAACCAUGACUAUCUGUUGACCAACGAGCUAGUCAACUAGAGGCUUACUAGGGACGUAUUGUGGUCUAUGUAUUCACACGUGUAUUACGAUUUCCGGAUAAUACAAUUAUAGCAUGAAUAAAAGACAAUUAUCAUGAACAAGGAAAUAUAAUAAUAAUCCUUUUAUUAUUGCCUCUAGGGCAUAUUUCCAACAGUCUCCCACUUGCACUAGAGUCAAUACUCUAGUUACAUUGUGAUGAAUCGAACACCCAUAGAGUUCUGGUGUUGAUCAUGUUUUGCUCGCGAGAGAGGUUUAGUCAAUGGAUCUGUGACAAUCAGAUCCGUAUGUACUUUGCAAAUAUCUAUGUCUCCAUCUUGAACAUUUUCACGGAUGGAGUUGAAGCGACGCUUGAUGUGCCUAGUCUUCUUGUGAAACCUGGGCUCCUUGGCAAGGGCAAUAGCUCCAGUGUUGUCACAGAAGAGUUUGAUCGGCCCCGACGCAUUAGGUAUGACUCCUAGGUCGGUGAUGAACUCCUUCACCCAAAUUGCUUCAUGCGCUGCCUCCGAGGCUGCCAUGUACUCCGCUUCACAUGUAGAUCCCGCCACGACGCUCUGCUUGCAGCUGCACCAGCUUACUGCUCCACCAUUCAACAUAUACACGUAUCCGGUGUGUGACUUAGAGUCAUCCAGAUCUGUGUCGAAGCUAGCAUCGACGUAACCCUUUACGACGAGCUCUUCGUCACCUCCAUAAACGAGAAACAUGUCCUUUGUCCUUUUCAGGUACUUCAGGAUAUUCUUGACCGCUGUCCAGUGUUCCUUGCCGGGAUUACUUUGGUACCUUCCUACCAAACUUACGGCAAGGUUUACAUCAGGUCUGGUACACAGCAUGGCAUACAUAAUAGAUCCUAUGGCUAAGGCAUAGGGGAUGACGCUAAUCUCUUCCUUAUCUUUUGCCGUGGUCGGGCAUUGAGCCGAGUUCAAUCUCACACCUUGUAGUACAGGCAAGAACCCUUUCUUGGACUGAUCCAGUUUGAACUUCUUCAAAAUCUUAUCAAGGUAUGUGCUUUGUGAAAGACCUAUGAGGCGUCUCGAUCUAUCUCUAUAGAUCUUGAUGCCUAAUAUAUAAGCAGCUUCUCCAAGGUCCUUCAUUGAAAAACACUUAUUCAAGUAGGCCUUAAUGUUGUCCAAAAGUUCUAUAUCAUUUCCCAUCAAAAGUAUGUCAUCUACAUAUAAUAUGAGAAAUGCUACAGAGCUCCCACUCACUUUCUUGUAAACGCAGGCUUCUCCAUAAGUCUGCAUAAACCCAAACGCUUUGAUCAUCUCAUCAAAGCGAAUGUUCCAACUCCGAGAUGCUUGCACCAGCCCAUAAAUGGAUCGCUGGAGCUUGCAUACUUUGUUAGCAUUCUUAGGAUCGACAAAACCCUCCGGCUGCAUCAUAUACAGUUCUUCCUUAAGAUGCCCGUUAAGGAAUGCCGUUUUGACGUCCAUCUGCCAUAUCUCAUAAUCAUAGUAUGCGGCAAUUGCUAACAUGAUUCGGACGGACUUAAGCUUCGCUACGGGAGAGAAAGUCUCAUCAUAGUCAAUCCCUUGAACUUGCCGAUAACCCUUAGCGACAAGUCGAGCUUUAUAGAUGGUGACAUUUCCAUCCGCGUCCGUCUUCUUCUUAAAGAUCCAUUUGUUUUCUAUCGCUCGCUGAUCAUCGAGCAAGUCAGUCAAAGUCCAUACUUUGUUUUCAUACAUGGAUUCUAUCCCGGAUUUCAUGGCUUCUAGCCAUUUGUUGGAAUCUGGGCCCGCCAUUGCUUCUUCAUAGUUCGAAGGUUCACCGUUGUCCAACAACAUGAUUUCCAGGACAGGGUUGCCGUACCACUCUGGUGCAGGACGUGUCCUUGUGGACCUACGAAGUUCAGUAGCAACUUGAUCCGAAGUACCUUGAUCAUCAUCAUUAUUUUCCUCUUCAGUUGGUGUAGGCAUCACAGGAACAUUUUCCUGAGCUGCACUACUAUCCCGUUCAAGAGGUAGUACUUCAUCGAGUUCUACUUUCCUCCCACUUACUUCUUUCGAGAGAAACUCUUUUUCCAGAAAGGAUCCGUUCUUGGCAACAAAGAUCUUGCCCUCGGAUCUUAAAUAGAAGGUAUACCCAAUGGUUUCUUUAGGGUAUCCUAUGAAGACACAUUUUUCCGACUUGGGUUCGAGCUUUUCAGGUUGAAGUUUCUUGACAUAAGCAUCGCAUCCCCAAACUUUUAGAAACGACAACUUAGGUUUCUUCCCAAACCAUAAUUCAUACGGUGUCGUCUCAACGGAUUUAGAUGGUGCCCUAUUUAAAGUGAAUGUAGCUAUCUCUAGAGCGUAUCCCCAAAAUGAUAGCGGUAAAUCGGUAAGAGACAUCAUAGAUCGCACCAUAUCCAAUAGAGUGCGAUUACGACGUUCGGACACACCGUUACGCUGAGGUGUUCCAGGCGGCGUGAGUUGUGAAACGAUUCCACAUUUUCUUAAGUGUGUACCAAAUUCGUGACUUAAAUAUUCUCCUCCACGAUCCGAUCGUAAGAAUUUUACCUUUCGGUCACGUUGAUUCUCUACUUCAUUCUAAAAUUCCUUGAACUUUUCAAAGGUCUCAGACUUGUGUUUCAUCAAGUAGACAUACCCAUAUCUACUCAAGUCAUCAGUGAGAGUGAGAACAUAACGAUAUCCUCCGCGAGCCUCAACGCUCAUUGGACCGCACACAUUGGUAUGUAUGAUUUCCAACAAGUUGGUUGCUCGCUCCAUUGUUCCAGAGAACGGGGUCUUGGUCAUUUUGCCCAUGAGGCAUGGUUCGCAUGUGUCAAAUGAUUCAUAAUCGAGAGACUCUAAAAGUCCAUCAGCAUGGAGCUUCUUCAUGCGCUUGACACCAAUGUGACCAAGGCGGCAGUGCCACAAGUAUAUGGGACUAUCGUUAUCAACUUUACAUCUUUUGGUAUUCACGCUAUGAAUAUGUGUAACAUUACGUUCGAGAUUCAUUAAGAAUAAACCAUUGACCAUCGGGGCAUGACCAUAAAACAUAUCUCUCAUAUAAAUAGAACAACCAUUAUUCUCGGAUUUAAAUGAGUAGCCAUCUCGUAUUAAACGAGAUCCAGAUACAAUGUUCAUGCUCAAACUUGGCACUAAAUAACAAUUAUUGAGGUUUAAAACUAAUCCCGUAGGUAAAUGUAGAGGUAGCGUGCCGACGGCGAUCACAUCGACCUUGGAACCAUUCCCGACACGCAUCGUCACCUCGUCCUUCGCCAGUCUCCGCUUAUUCCGCAACUCCUGCUGUGAGUUACAAAUGUGAGCAACGGCACUGGUAUCAAAUACCCAGGAGUUACUACGAGUACUGGUAAGGUACACAUCAAUGACAUGUAUAUCAAAUAUACCUUUAGUGUUGCCGGCCUUCUUGUCCGCUAAGUAUUUGGGGCAGUUCCGCUUCCAGUGACCCUUCCCCUUGCAAUAAAAGCACUCAGUUUCAGGCUUGGGUCCAUUCUUUGACUUCUUCCCGGCAACUGGCUUACCGGGCGCGGCAACAUCUUUGCCGUCCUUCUUGAAGUUCUUCUUACCCUUGCCCUUCUUGAACUUAGUGGUCUUAUUGACCAUCAACACUUGAUGUUCUUUCUUGAUUUCAACCUCUGCUGACUUCAGCAUUGAAACUACUUCAGGAAUGGUCUUCACCAUCCCCUGCAUAUUGUAGUUCAUCACAAAGCUCUUGUAGCUUGGUGGGAGCGACUGAAGGAUUCUGUCAAUGACCGCCUCAUCCAGGAGGUUAAUGUCCAGCUGGGACAGGCGGUUGUGCAACCCAGAGAUUUUGAGUAUAUGCUCACUGACAGAACUAUUUUCCUCCAUCUUACAACUAUAGAACUUGUCGGAGACUUCAUAUCUCUCGAACCGGGCAUGAGCUUGGAAAACUAGUUUCAGCUCCUCGAACAUCUCAUAUGCUCCAUGUUGCUCAAAACGCUUUUGGAGCCCCGGUUCUAAGCUGUAAAGCAUGCCGCACUGAACGAGAGAGUAAUCAUCAGUGCGAGACUGCCAAGAAUUCAUAAUGUCUUGGUUUUGUGGGACGGGUGCAUCACCUAGCGGUCCUUCUAGGACAUAUUGUUUCCUGGCAGCUAUGAGGAUGAUCCUCAGGUUCGGACCCAGUCCGUAUAGUUGCUGCCAUCAUCUUUCAGCUUGGUUUUCUCUAGGAACGCGUUGAAGUUCAUGUUGACAUGAGCGUUGGCCAUUUGAUCUACAAGACAUAUUUGCAAAGGUUUUAGACUAAGUUCAUGAUAAUUAAGUUCAUCUAAUCAAAUUAUUGAAUGAACUCCCACUCAGAUUUGACAUCCCUCUAGUCAUCUAAGUGUUACACGAUCCGAGUCGACUAGGCCGUGUCCGAUCAUCACGUGAGACGGACUAGUCAUCGUUGGUGAACAUCUCCAUGUUGAUCGUAUCUUCCAUACGACUUGUGUUCGACCUUUCGGUCUCUGUGUUCCCAGGCCAUGUCUGUACAUGCUAGGCUCGUCAAGUUAACCCUAAGUGUUUUGCAUGUGUAAAUCUGUCUUACACCCGUUGUAUGUGAACGUAAGGAUCUAUCACACCCGAUCAUCAUGUGGUGCUUCGAAACGACGAACUUUAGCAACGGUGCACAGUUAGGGGGAACACUUUCUUGAAAUUAUUAUAAGGGAUCAUCAUAUUUACUACCGCCGUUCUAAGUAAACAAGAUGCAUAAAACAUAAUAAACAUCACAUGCAAUUAUAUAGUAGUGACAUGAUAUGGCCAACAUCAUAUAGCUCCUUUGAUCUCCAUCUUCGGGGCUCCAUGAUCAUCUUCGUCACCGGCAUGACACCAUGAUCUCCAUCAUCAUGAUCUCCAUCAUUGUGUCUUCAUGAAGUUGUCACGCCAACGACUACUUCUACUUGUAUGGCUAACGCGUUUAGCAAUAAAGUAAAGUAAUUUACAUGGCGUUCUUCAAUGACACGCAGGUCAUACAAAAAAUAAAGACAACUCCUAUGGCUCCUGCCGGUUGUCAUACUCAUCGACAUGCAAGUCGUGAUUCCUAUUACAAGAACAUGAUCUCAUACAUCACAAUAUAUCAUUCAUCAUUCAUCACAACUUCUGGCCAUAUCACAUCACAUGACAAUUGCUACAAAAACAAGUUAGACGUCCUCUAAUUGUUGUUGCAUCUUUUACAUGGCUGCAAUUGGGUUCUAGCAAGAACGUUUUCUUACCUAUGAAUAACCACAACGUGAUUUUGUCAACUUCUAUUUACCCUUCAUAAGGACCCUUUUCAUCGAAUCCGCUCCAACUAAAGUGGGAGAGACAGACACCCGCCAGCCACCUUAUGCAACUGGUGCAUGUCAGUCGGUGGAACCGGUCUCACGUAAGCGUACGUGUAAGGUUGGUCCGGGCCGCUUCAUCCCACAAUACUGCUGAAGCAAGAUAAGACUAGUAGACAAGAUCUACACCGACAACAAAAUUGUGUUCUACUAGUGCAAUAGAGAACUACGCAUAGACCUAGCUCAUGAUGCCACUGUUGGGGAACGUUGCAGAAAAUUAAAUUUUUUCCUACGGUUUCACCAAGAUCCAUCUAUGAGUUCAUCUAAGCAACGAGUCAUGGGAGAGAGAUUGCAUCUACAUACCACUUGUAGAUUGCGUACGGAAGCGUUCGAGGGAACGGUGAUGAUGGAGUCGUACUCGCCGUGAUUCAGAUCACCGAUGACCAAGUGCUGAACGGACAACACCUCCGCGUUCAAGACAUGUACGGUACGGACGAUGUCUCCUCCUUCUUGAUCCAGCAAGGGGGAAGGAGAGGUUGAGGAAGAAGGCUCCAGCAGCAGCACGACGGCGUGAUGAUGGUGGAGAGGCAAUACUCCGACAGGGCUUCGCCAAGCGCACAACGGAGGAGGAGAGGUGUUGGGGAGGGGAGGGGCUGCACCUUGGAUCAGGUGUUCAGCCCUCCCCUCACCCCUCUAUUUAUAGGGGAAGGGGAAAGGGGGCCGCCCCCCUCUAGAUGAGAUCUAGAGGGGGGGGGGGCGGCCAGGGAGGGGGCUUGCCCCCAAGCAAAGCGGGUGCGCCCCCUUUAGGGUCCCCCCAACCCUAGGCGCAUGGGCCCAAGGGGGGGGGGGCGCCCAGCCCUCCAGGGGCUGGUUCCCUGCCCCACGUGGCCCAUGUGGCCCACCAAGAGGGGUGGCCCCUCCCGGUGGACCCCCAGAACCCCUCCGGUGGCCCCGAUACAAUACCGAUAUGCCCCCGAAACUUUCCGGUGUCCGCAUGACAACUUCCCAUAUAUAAAUCUUUACCUCCGGACCAUUCCAGAACUCCUUGUGAUGUCCGGGAUCUCAUCCGGGACUCCGAACAACAUUCGGUAAUCACAUACAAGUCUUCCUAAUAACCCUAGCGUCACCGAACCUUAAGUGUGUAGACUCUAUGGGUUCGGGAGACACGCAGACAUGACCGAGAUGGCUCUCCGGUCAAUAACCAACAGCGGGAUCUGGAUACCCAUGUUGGCUGCCACAUGCUCCUCGAUGAUGUCGUCAGAUGAACCACGAUGUCGAGGAUUCAAUCAACCCCGUAAGCAAUUCCCUUUGUCAGACGGUAUGUUACUUGCCCGAGACUCGAUCGUCGGUAUCCCAAUACCUCAUUCAGUCUCGUUACUGGCAAGUAACUUUACUCGUACCGUAAUGCAUGAUCCCGUGACCCGACACUUGGUCACUUUGAGCUCAUUAUGAUGAUGCACUACCGAGUGGGCCCAGUGAUACCUCUCCGUAAUCCGGAGUGACAAAUCCCAGUCUCGAUCCGUGUCAACACAACAGACACUUUCGGAGAUACCUGUAGUGCACCUUUAUAGUCACCCAGUUACGUUGUGACGUUUGGUACACCCAAAGCACUUCUACGGUAUCCGGGAGUUACAUGAUCUCAUGGUCUAAGGAAGAGAUACUUGACAUUGGAAAAGCUCUAGCAAAACGAACUACACGAUCUUGUGCUAUGCUUAGGAUUGGGUCUUGUCCAUCACAUCAUUCUCCUAAUGAUGUGAUCCCGUUUUCAAUGACAUCCAAUGUCCAUAGUCAGGAAACCAUGACUAUCUGUUGACCAACGAGCUAGUCAACUAGAGGCUUACUAGGGACGUAUUGUGGUCUAUGUAUUCACACGUGUAUUACGAUUUCCGGAUAAUACAAUUAUAGCAUGAAUAAAAGACAAUUAUCAUGAACAAGGAAAUAUAAUAAUAAUCCUUUUAUUAUUGCCUCUAGGGCAUAUUUCCAACAUUCAGCAGCGGUGGGUUCAGCUGCUGGAAUAUCUUCAGCUUCAGGAGCCUCUGUGGAAGCAGGCUCAUGAACAGUCAUGUGAAGUUCUUGGGAUGCAGAUGCAGGAUGAAUCACUGAGAUGGGUUCAACAAAAAGGGGCUCUGUGGGAGCAGCCCGAUUCUUCUUGGUCUUGCGCUUCUUCUUGGAGGGAGCAGCAUCAGAGGCUUCGGUAUUCUUCCUCUUUCUGGCCUCUGCCUCGGCAGCCCUCGUUUUCUUCUGUUCUGAAGCGGUUGUGGUGACCUUUGGCUUCGAGCCAGUCAUGCUACUUGGGAAGAUAAUGCGUGGAGCUUCUUGGCUUGAAGGCGCAAGCUGAGCAGCAGGAGGCUUCUUCUUUUUCUUUGCUGCCAUCCUGGGGUCAAUGCCAGGACGGCCAAGUGACUUGCGCUUCUCAGCCUCAUUGUAGGCGAGCACACACUUAUCAGCCAAACUCUUCAUGCGCUCACGAGAACCUUGAGCUUCUUGAUGCUUCUUCAGAAAAGCUUCUUUAAGCUCAUGCAUCAUGACUUUGAAGUUUCGGACGUCUUGAACACUUAGCUUGGCCACAUGCUUCUUGAAUUGAGCCUUCUCAUAAUCAAUCUUGUUCUUGAGCUCAACGAUUCGCUGAGCGAGAGCCAGCUCAGAAGCAAUGGCGCCAUUGAAAGAGACGCUGAGGCCAAUUGGAGGCUGUAAAUCUUCAAAGCUGACGUUUGGGGUGUCGAACCACUCAUCAAUGAAAUUGUGGAUGAUGGCCACAUCAAAGAGAGGCAAGUUGUUGAAGAUUUCUGCUUCUUCCUUGCUCUUUAUCAGCUGCUCAAGAGCAUCAUCCGCAAGAUCUUCAUCACUUGAUAGAUCAAUGGGUUCUUCACGCAGAAUAGCAGCAGGAGUUAGAGCUUGAGUAGUAUGCCUAACAAGUUGUCUUUUCUUCUCCGUCUUCUUGGAGAUACGAGAUUGAUCUUCAGACUACACACUGGCUUCAGGAGGUGCAGUGGCCAAUGGAUUCACACGAGAAGCUUUUGGAGGUGCGGCUGAUGAUGUAAUCUUAACCUUCUUUGGCUUCUUCGGCCUUGGGUAGGAGCAGGGGCUUCAUCAGAAUCAACAUCAUUGUUGGGAUGAUCCACUCUGGCACCAUGAACCAAGACGUAGGAGAUGAGACCAUCAAGGUUGGCAAAGGGGCCAAUUCUAUUCUCUUCAGCUUCACGUGUCCCAUCCUCACGGGGAGCAGAGGGACCAGGAUUGAAGUCUAGUCCCCAUGACUUCUUGUUUUCCUUUGCUGAAGACAUAGCAAACUGGAAGUUGCGCUUGAAGAGAUUGUCGUCGCGACACCAGAGCAAUGAUGAUGGGUCGGCUUCUUCAGGCUGUGGCCCACGGACCAUGCAAGGAUAGAAUUAUUGCGCAAUGGCUUCAGCUCUGUUCUUGGGGGGAAGGCCUCGAUAGAGAAUAUCACCCCAAGGGCUCUUGAUAGCAUAUUUCUCUGCGUACUCCUGGGUGACAAACUUGUACUUGUACCACUAUUCAGCCCAAUAGCGUCGAAUCCAUUGGAUUCGAGUCUUGCGUUGAUUGUAAUCUUCUUCAGGAUCUGUUUUAUACAUUUCUGCUAGAUCCUUAGGCAGAUCCUUCGAAGUUCCCCCAUGACACUGUCUGCCACUCUUCCUUGCUGAUUUUUCUGCAGCCAUGAACUUCAAGCUGAAUGGCUUCAAUACGUUCAGAGGCUUCAGAGAUUUGUGCUUGCUGGUCAAGCAGGAACUGGCUUUAGGAGAAUUUAUAUGAUGCUGUAAGUAUUCUGCAAACGAAUGCAGACUAUGAGAACCAAGGGAUUCUCCCACGGACAUGUACCUGUGACAGCAUUAGAGAUGCGAGGGAAGGGGAAGAGGUCAUAUGCAUUCUCAGAAGAUUUUAAAGAUAAAUCAGUUUGAAGACAUUGACCUCAUGAUGCGAAGACAUUCACUUAUAUGUGGUGAGUUGGUUCCAGAUUUGUACCAGUCCAUGAAUAAGUACAAGUGAGGAAUCAAACUAGAUAGGAAAUCUAAGUGAAUAGACUAGGCAUUAUGAGAUGCAGAUAGAAUAGAUCUAACAUUGAGUAGGCAGAAACCACUUUCGGUGAGUAUGAUGAAUCUAUGAAGAUCAAAAAGGUGGUAAAAAUAGAGUUAUAAUUACCGCACGACGAACUGCUAGAUGGGAAGAAUGAGACCGAGCAGUUCAGUCCACCGUGCCCUAACUUGGCGACGGAGGACACCUACGGUGACGGCGGAGAGGACGAUGUCCGCGGCCGGCGUGAGGACGGCAUCGGAGAAGUCGCGGCAGCUAAGCGCUUCGUCGCCGGCAUCGUCGCGAGCUAGCGGUGGCGCUAGGGUUUUGACGGAGGUGGAGAGGUGGAAGAAGGAUUUCUUUACCGCAGGGGACAAGUAUUUAUAAAUAGGUGAGAGACACAGCGCAAUUACGCUGGUGCCCCUGGCGGUUCACAUCUGAGGGGUACGUGGCAAGCAUGCAACAUACUUAGAAUUGUCCCACGUUCCCACGCCCGCCAAGUAUGUCGGAUGUUCGUUCCGGCUUCUCCAGAUAUCGAUAAUUAAGAUGAUUCAUUUAAAUAGGACUUGAUGUUUUGUCUCUGUGUCUUCUGCUGACAAGGAUGCAGAGAAGACAUUCGACAGUUUCAAUAGAAUGCAUAUGAUUUGGACAGAUAGACUUUGAGAUAGUAAGCAUAGAGACAUUAGGGUCCGAUCACAUUCACUUAGUUCAAAAGAUUCAACUUGAAGACAUAGCUAUAAGUGAAUGCUGUAGAGGACAGAAUGCUAGUAUAUAUAGAUAUAUGCAAUCAAGUCAUCAUAGCGCAGAAAAUCAUGAAGAUAAAUAGAAACUGACGACAAACGAAAUGUGAAGUCUUUGCAAAAUAACGCCAUGAGGGAAACACUUCAAACAGAGAAAUUUGGUGGUGGCGUUACCCACCAUAUAGGAAGUGUUAGACCCAGGCACGGCGCACAAUUAUCGUGGCGCUCCGAAGUCAAAUUCCAUGUUAAUGUAUUCACACUCAGAGUGUAAAUCUUCAUUGAUUGAAGAUAUACAUUACUUUGUGUGUUGCACAUCUAAGUCAUCAACAUGCAUAAGUGUUAGGAUGUGUGCCUGAUCACAGGACAUUAGAGGAUUCCAAGAUAUUUAGCUCACACCGUAACUUGCAAAACCUUUUCUCAUCCAAGGGCUUUGUGAAGAUAUCUGCCAGUUUCUCUUCAGUGUUGACGUGCAUGAUAUCUAUAUCUUUCUUCAUAACAUGAUCUCUGAGAAAGUGAUGACGUAUUUCAAUGUGCUUUGACUUCGAGUGCUGGACUGGAUUGUUGGCAAUCUUGAUGGCACUUUCGUUGUCGCAGAAGAGAGGGACUUGCUUUAGAUCGAUGCCAUAGUCCUUGAGAGUUUGCUUCAUCCACAGAAGCUGAGCACAACAGGAUCCAGCAGCAAUGUAUUCAGAUUCAGCAGUUGAGAGUGAUACACAGUUCUGCUUCUUUGAAGACCAACAGACAAGUGAUCGACCAAGAAAAUGACAUGUGCCUGAUGUUGACUUGCGAUCCACCUUGUCACCAGCAUAAUCAGCACCCGAGAAUCCAACCAGAUCAAACCUUGAGCCCUUUGGAUACCGUAAUCCGAGUGUUGGGGUGUAAGCCAAAUAUCGAAGAAUUCGCUCCACAGCUAAGUGAUGCGAUUCCUUUGGUGCCGCUUGGAAUCGAGCACACAUGCAAACACUAAGCAUAAUAUCUGGCCUAGAUGCACAUAAAUAAAGCAAAGAACCAAUCAUGGAGUGGUAUACCUUUUGAUCGAACUCUUUACCAUUGUCGUCGGGACCAAGAUGAUGUUUGGCUGGCAUUGGCAUCGUGUAACCUUUGCAAUCUUGCAUGCCGAACUUCUUCAGGCAAUCUUUGAGAUAUUUUUCUUGAGAUAUGAAGAUGCCAUUUCUUUGUUGACGGAUUUGAAGACCAAGGAAGAACUUCAGCUCUCCCAUCAUGGACAUUUGAUAUUGCUCUUGCAUCAUGUACCCAAACUCAUCACUGUACUUCUGGUUGGUGUAGCCAAAUAUUAUGCCAUCAACAUAUAUUUGGCACACAAACAGUUCACCAUCAUAUCUCUUCGUGAAGAGAGUGGGAUCGAGGGAUCCCGGUUUGAAGCCUUUACUUUUCAGGAAGUCUUUGAUUGUAGCAUACCAAGCGCGAGGAGCUUGUUUGAGGCCAUACAGUGCUUUGUUGAGUUUGUACACCAUAUCAGGAUGUUUUGGAUCUUCAAAGCCAGGUGGCUGUGUAACAUAUACUUCUUCUUCAAUCUUGCCAUUGAGAAAUGCACUCUUUACAUCCAUUUGAUAUAGCAAGAUGUUGUGAUGAUUUGCAUAGGCUAGCAGUAUGCGAAUGGCUUCAAGCCUAGCAACAGGAGCAAAUGUUUCAUCGAAGUCAAUUCCUUCAACUUGAGUAUAUCCUUGAGCCACAAGACGUGCUUUGUUUAUGACGAAUUGACCAUGCUCAUCUUGCUUGUUUUGAUAUAUCCAUUUUGUUCCUAUAAUGUUAUGCUUGCGAGGGUCAGGUCGCUUGACAAGUUCCCAAACAUUAUUCAGCUUGAACUGUUGAGGUUCUUCUUGCAUGGCUUGAAUCCAUUCAGGUUCCAUAAAAGCUUCAGCAACUUUCUUGGGUUCUGAUAUUGACACAAAUGAAAAAUGCCCACAGAAAUUUGCUAGCUGUGUUGCUCUUGAGCAAGUAAGCGGACCAGGCGCAUUGAUACUGUCAAUUAUCUUCUCAAUUUGUACUUCAUUUGCAACACGAGGAUGAACUGGACGAAGACCUUGCUCAUGCUGAUCAUUGUCAUCAUUGGAAGUAUUGUCUUCAGUCUGAGCAUUGUCUUCAGGUUGGUUUGGUGCAGAAAUGAUAAGUUCCUCUUCAGGCUGUGCUUCAGAGGGCAUGAUCUCACCAGUUCCCAUCAACUUGAUAGAUUCACAGGAAGGAGCUUCAUCAAGUGUACUAGGCAGAAUUUCUCUUUGCGAACCAUUGGUUUCAUCAAAUCGCACUUCCACUGUUUCAACAAUUUUGUAGUGGAAGAGGUUGAAGACUCUGUAAGAGUGUGAAUCCUUUCCAUAGCCCAGCAUGAAGCCUUCAUGAGCUUUGGGUUCAAAUUUUGACUUGUGAUGGGGAUCCUUGAUCCAGCACCUAGCACCAAAGACUCUGAAGUAACUGACAUUUGGUUUCUUGCCAGUGAGGAGCUCAUAGGAUGUUUUGCCCAGAAGCUUAUGGAUGUAGACACGGUUGAUGAUGUGACAAGCUAUAUCAAUGGCUUCAGGCCAGAACUUUUUGGUGUCUUGUACUCGUCAAGCAUUGUUCGAGCCAUCUCUAUGAGGGUUCUGUUCUUGCGCUCUACAAUGCCGUUUUGCUGAGGUGUGUAUGGAGCAGAAAAUUCAUGAGUGAUUCCCAUUGUAUCUAGAUAAAGAUCAAGCCCGAUGUUCUUGAAUUCAGUGCCGUUAUCACUUAUGAUAUGCUUGAUCUUGAUGCCAUAGUUGUUCAUUGCUCGAUUGGCGAAUCGUCUGAAGACAUCUUGUACUUCAGUCUUGUAAAGAAUUAUGUGCACCCAUGUGAAUCUUGAGUAGUCAUCAACAAUGACGAAGCCAUAGAGACACGCCGUUGUUGUGAGGGUGGAGUAGUGGGUAGGUCCAAAUAAGUCCAUGUGCAGCAGCUCGAAGGGUUGAGAUGUUGUCAUGAUUGUCUUCGAAGGAUGCUUGGCCCUUGUCAUCUUUCUAGCUUCGCAGGCACCACACAGAUGAUCUUUCUUGAACUUGACACCUUCGAUGCCUAUGACAUGCUUCUUUUUGACGAGAGUGUGCAAGUUCCUCAUGCUAGCGUGCCCCAGCCUUCGAUGCCAUAGCCAGCAUUCUGAAGCUUUAGCAAGAAGACAUACGGCAAGUUUUGGACCUGCUGAGAAAUCUACCAUAUAUAGAUCACCUUUCCUAUACCCUUCAAAGACUAGAGAUUUGUCAGAUUCCAUUAGUACAAGGCAACAAUAUUUUCCAAAUAUCACAAUCAUGUUUAAGUCACAAAGCAUUGAGACAGACAUUAAGUUGAAUCCAAGGGAUUCAACAAGCAUCACUUUAUCCAUGUGUUGAUCCUUUGAGAUUGCAACUCUACCUAGACCCAAUACUUUGCCUUUACCAGUGUCAGCAAAUGUGAUUUGACUCUUGUCGGAUGGACGUAAGGUUGAGUCCAUGAGAAGACUUUGAUCACCAGUCAUAUGAUUAGUGCAUCCGCUGUCAAUAAUCCAUUCUGAAGCUUUUGGUGACAUGCCCUACAGUGCAGUUAGGAGGAUAGGCUUCACAAUGUAUGUUGUGAAGCAUAAGCAUUUGAUGCACACUUGGAUUAUCACAGCAUAGAUGAAAGUUAGCACACAGUAUGACAGGUAAGUGAUUCAUAUGUGGAAUACAUAGUAAGUCAUUUUAUCAUGCGUCCCUUUAUGUUUUAGGUCCCCAGCAAUUAUAUCGGACGCCAUUGAUUGCUGGCUGGAGACCACAUUCUGCAAAAGAGAGUUAAUUCUUCUUCACCACCCACAUUUUUAGGUGUGGCUUAGAAGCAAUGAGUCUAAGUGCAGCAUCUGAGAAUUUCGGCUUUGAAGCCCUAGCAAAUAGCCUUGUAGGAGAUGAAUGAUACUCAUGUGAAUAAGCAGAAAAGUUCUUAGUUCUAUGAACAUAGCGAUUUGAAGACACACGCUCAUAUUCAUGGGUCUGAGUAUGAUUUCCCUGCAAAACAUUGGCGUUAGGGUGACUCAAGUGAGUCCUGUGUUCGUAAGUAGCCGUUGGACCAUAUGAUGCCUUUGGUCUGGGGUUUGUCUUCUUCCCUGGUGGUGUCAUGAUGACAUUCACUGGAAAAUUCUCAAGGCAGCUUUUGGGAACCCAGAUCUUCUUCAUAGGAGGUCCAUUCCUGCAGUUAGUACCAAUAUACCUGGCAAACACUUCACCAUUCUGGUUUUUGAACAGUUUAUAGUUUGCAUCAAAGGAUUCAUCAAUGAUAAUAGGAUUAGCACAGGUAAAUCCAGAUAAGGUAGAUGGAUCCACUGAAGGUUCCUUUGCAGCAACCCAUGUGGUUAUGGGAUACUGCUCAGGCUUCCAGUAGGAACCAUCAGCAUUCAUUUUCCUCUCGAACCCAACACCCUCUUUCCUAGGGUUUCGGUUCAGAAUCUGCUUUUUGAGGACAUCACAAAGUGUCUGAUGCCCUUUCAGACUUUUAUACAUCCCUGUUUCAAGCAAUGUCUUCAACCUAGCAUUUUCAUCAACAAUAGUAGUGGUAUCCUCAAAAGAGGGGUUAGUUACCACAUCAGUAGUUGAAGACAGAGCAACAGUAGCAGCAGUGGAACAUUCAGCAAUAGAGUUAGCGUUAUCACACUCAAUGCAUUUUAAGCAUGGUGGUUCAAAUUCAUCCUGAGCGGGACUGAUCCUUUGAGCGCGAAAUGACUCUUUCUCUUUUUGAAGAUCUUCAUGAGUCACUUUCAGUUUCUCAAGCUCUUGCUUUCUUUGAAGAUAUUCAUAGGAGAGCUUUUCAUAAGUGGUUGAGAGAGACUCGUGAAGACUUUCAAGUUCUUGAUACUUAGCAUGAAGAUUUUUUAUGUCUUCAACUAAGGACUGUGAACGUGUCAUUUCCGCGUCCAACAUGUCAUCGCUUUUGUCUAACAGUUUUUGAGUAUGUUCCAUAGCCCUUUGUUGUUCAGUAGCAAUUUUAGCAAGUGUUUUGUAGCUGGGUUUAGAUUCACAAUCAGAGUCAUCUUCACUUGAUGUUUGAAAGUAAGCAUCACACGAUUUUACCUUGGCACCGAAUGCCAUGAAGCAGUAGGUGGGAGCAAGAUCGCCCUUCUCAUCAUCAGCAUUGGUGUGGGAGUCAUUGUCUUCAGUGUUGAAGAUGGACUUUGCGACGUAUGCUGUGGCCAGAGCCAGACUUGCAACGCCAGAGUCGGACUCAGCUUCAGAUUCCACCUCUGCCUCCUCAGAUGCAGACUCCUCCUCUGAAUCCAUUUCCUUGCCAACAAAAGCAUGAGCCUUGCCAGAUGAGCUCUUCUUGUGAGAUGAAGACCUUGAUGAGGACUUGGAAGAAGACUUCAAAGAUUUCUUCUUCUUCUUGUCAUCGGAGUCAUAUUCCUUGCUCUUCUUCUUCUUCUUCUCGUUGUCCCACUGAGGACACUCAGAGAUGUAGUUCCCAAGCUUCUUACACUUGUGACAUGUUCUCUUCUUGUUGUCUUGAGUGGAAGCUUCAUCAUUUCUUGAACUGGAUCGUGAAGACUUUCUGAAGCCCUUCUUCUUGGUGAAUUUCUGGAACUUCUUCACAAGCAUAGCAAGCUCCCUUCCAAUGUCUUCAGGAUCGUCAGAACCGCAGUCAGAUUCUUCUUCUUCAGAUGAGGAAACAACUUUUGCCUUCAAAGCACAAGUUCGGCCAUAGUUGGGGCCAUAGAUAUCUCUUUUCUCAGAAAUCUGGAACUCAAGUGUGUUGAGCCUCUCAAGUAUAUCAGACGGAACAAGUGUCUUGAAGUCAGGACGUUCUUGUAUCAUGAGGGCAAGGGUGUCAAAGGAGGUGUCAAGUGAUCUUAGCAGUGUCUUGACAAUUUCAUGCUUGGUGAUCUCAGUGGCGCCGAGAGCCUGAAGCUCAUUUGUGAUGUCGGUGAGGCGAUCAAACUUGAGCUGGACAUUUUCAUUGUCGUUUCUCUUGAAGCGAUUGAAGAGAUUGCGAAGAACACUGAUCCUCUGGUCUCUCUGUGUAGAGACGCCUUCAUUGACCUUGGACACCCAGUCCCAGACUAGCUUUGACGUUUCCAGAGCACUCACACGGCCAUACUGUCCUUUGGUCAGAUGACCACAGAUGCUGUUCUUUGCAGUCGAGUCCAGUUGAAUGAACUUCUUGACAUUAGUAGGGGUGACACCUUCACCAGUUUUGGGAACGCCAUUCUUGACGACAUACCAGAGGUCGACAUCAAUGGCUUCAAGAUGCAUGCGCAUCUUAUUCUUCCAGUAGGGAUAAUCUGUUCCAUCGAACACGGGGCAAGCAGCGGAGACUUUGAUUAUCCUUGCAGUCGACAUAGCUAAACUCUAGGUGGUUAAACCGAAUCACAUUGAACAAGGGAGUACCUUGCUCUGAUACCAAUUGAAAGUGCUAGUUAUCGACUAGAGGGGGGGUGAAUAGGCGAUUUUUAUGAAAGUCUUCAAAACAUGGAAGUUUCAAAGACAAACAAUGGAAACAACCUAAUUGAUAUGCAGCGGAAGAUAAACUACAACAAGCAAGCCAUAAUCAAAAAUGCAAUAGCAUUAACGUUUGAAGAUUAAUAGCAGCUAGGUAGUAGGAUCAGGAUGGAAGAUAGUAUGAAGCCAAUCAACAAUAGUAGUCAAGCAAUGAAGUCAAUCAGAUAAGACGAUAAGCAAUGACUUCAUGAAGACAAACUCAAGUAAAGGAGGGAAGAGAUAGAACCAGUUGCUUGUUGAAGACACAGGAUUUGUUGGACCAGUUCCAGUUGCUAUGACAACUAUACGUCUGGUUAGGGAGGCUAAGAUUCAACUCAGAAGACCGUGUCUUCACCUUAUUCGCCUUGAUCUAAGGUCACUUAGUCCUCGCCCAAUCACUCUGGUAAGUCUUCAAGGUAGACUUCCAAACCUUCACAGACUUUGUUCACCCGGAAAUCCACAAUGACUCUUGGAUGCUCAGAACGCGACGCCUAACCGGCUGGAGGAUACACAGUCCUCAAGUGUAAUAAGUCUUCAGGUCACACAGACAGAAAGACUUCAGUGAUGCCUAACACUCUUUGGCUCUGGGUGUUUGGGCUUUGUCCUCGCAAGGAUUUCUCUCUCUCAAAUGCUUCGAGGUGGGUUGCUCUCAAACGACAAAAGCCGUAUACUAACUCUGAGCAGCCACCAAUUUAUGGUGUAGGGGGUGGGCUAUUUAUAGACACUAGGCAACCCGACCUGAUUUGUCCGAAAUGACCCUGGGUCGCUAAGGAACUGACACGUGUUCCAACGGUCAGAUUUCAAACACACACGACAACUUUACUUGGGCUACAAGCAAAGCUGACUCAUCCAACUCUGGAUAAGAUUUGCUCUCAUUGUCUUCGCUCGAAGACAUAGGAUUUGGGUUGAGCAUCACUUCAGUCACUCUGACUUAGUUCACUUGGACCCCACUUAACAGUACGGUGGUUCCUAUGACUCAACAAAGAAGAAAAGGAAACAACGAAACCACACAGUCUUCGUGCUCCAUAGUCUUCACGCAAUGUCUUCUCAUAUCAUAGUCUUCAAUAUGAAUAUCUUCUCAUACCACCAUUAUCGUCAAUGUCUUCAUACAUUUUUAGGGGUCAUCUCCAGUAGGUAAACCGAAUCAAUGAGGGACACUACCUGCGUUAUCCUGCAAUUCUCACAAACGCAUUAGUCCCUCAACCACCUUUGUCGUCAAUACUCUAAGACCAACUAGGGGUGGCACUAGAUGCACUUACAGGAAUGACUUUCAUUCUCUUUCUAUCUUCUGCCGUGGUCGGGCUUUGAGUCUUACUCAACUUCACACCUUUGCAUCACAGGCAAGAACUCUUUCUUUGACUGUUUCAUUUUGAACUACUUCAAAAUCUUGUCAAGGUAUGUACUCAUUGAAAAAUCUUAUCAAGCGUCUUGAUCUAUCUCUAUAGAUCUUGAUGCUCAAUGUGUAAGCAUCUUCACCAAGGUCUUUCUUUGAAAAACUCCUUUCAAGCACUUCUUUAUGCUUUCCAGAAAAUUCUACAUUAUUUCCAAUCAACAAUAUGUCAUUCACAUAUACUUAUCAGAAAGGCCGUAGUGCUCCCACUCACUUUCUUGUAAAUACAAGCCUUUCCAAAAGUAUGUAUAAAACCAUAUGCUUUGAUCAACUCAUCAAAGCGUAUAUUCCAACUCUGAGAUGCUUGCACCAGUCCAUUGAUGGAUCGCUGGAGCUUGCACAUUUUGUUAGCACCCUUCGGAUCGACAAAACCUUCUGGUUGCAUCAUAUACAACUCUUCUUCCAGAAAUCCAUUCAGGAACACAAUUUUGAUAUCCAUUUGCCAGAUUUCAUAAAAUGUGGCAAUUGCUAACAUGAUUCGGACAGACUUAAGCAUCGUUACGAGUGAGAAAAUCUCAUCAUAUUCAACACCUUGAACUUGUCAAAAACCUUUUGCAACAAGUCGAGCUUUGUAGAUAGUAACACUGCUAUCAGUGUCCGUCUUCCUCUUGAAGAUCCAUUUAUUUAACAUGGCUUGCUGAUCAUCGAGCAAGUCAAUCAAAGUCCAUACUUUGUUCUCAUACAUGGAUCAUAUCUCAGAUUUUAUGGCCUCAAGCCAUUUCACGGAAUCUGGGCUCAUCAUCGCUUCCUCAUAGUUCGUAGGUUCAUCAUGGUCUAGUAACAUGACUUCCAGAACAUGAUUACCAUACCACUCUGGUGCAGACCGUACUCUGGAAGACCUACGAGGUUAUGUAAUAACUUGAUCUGAAGUUUCAUGAUCAUCAACAUUAGCUUCCUCACUAAUUGGUGUAGGAAUCACUGGAACUGAUUUCAGCGAUGAACUAUUUUCCAAUUAAGAAGGUACUAUUACCUUAUCAAGUUCUACUUUUCUCCCAGUCACUUCUUUCGAGAGAAACUCCUUCUCUAGAAAGGAUCCAUCUUAGCAACGAAUAUCUUGCCUUCGGAUCUGUGAUAGAAGGUGUACCCAACAGUUUCCUUUGGGUAUUCUAUGAAGACGCACUUCUCCGAUUUGGGUUCGAGCUUAUCAGGUUGAAACUUUUUCACAUAAGCAUUGCAGUCCCAAACUUUAAGAAAUGACAACUUUGGUUUCUUGCCAAACCACAGUUCAUAAGGUGUCGUCUCAACGGAUUUUGAUGGUGCCCUAUUUAAAAUGAAUGUGGCUGUCUCUAAUGCAUAACCCCAAAAUGAUAGUGGUAAAUCGGUAAGAGACAUCAUAGAUUGCACUAUAUCCAAUAAAGUACUGUUAUGACGUUCGGACACACCAUUAAGCUGUAGUGUUCCAGGUGGCAUGAGUUUGUGAAACUAUUCCACAUUGUUUUAAUUGAAGACCAAACUCGUAACUCAAAUAUUUGUCUCCGCGAUCAAAUUGUAGAAACUUUUUUUCUUGUUACGAUGAUUCUCCACUUCACUCUGAAAUUCUUUGAACUUUUCAAAUGUUUCAGACUUGUGCUUCAUUAAGUAGAUAUACUCAUAUAUGCUCAAUUCAUCUUGUGAAGGUUAGAAAAUAACGAUACCCGCCACGAGCAUCAACACUCAUUGGACUGCAUACAUCGGUAUGUAUUAUUUCCAAUAAGUCAUUAGCUCGUUCCAUUGUUCCGGAGAACGGAGUUUUAGUCAUCUUGCCAAAAGGCACGGUUCACAAGCAUCAAAUGAUUCAUAACCAAGAGAUUCCAAAAAUCCAUCUUUAUGGAGUUUCUUCAUGCGUUUUACACCGAUAUGACCCAAACGACAGUGCCACAAAUAAGUUGCACUAUCAUUAUCAACUUUGCAUCUUUUGGCAUCAAUAUUAUGAAUAUGUGUAUCACUAUGAUCGAGAUCCAACAAACUAUUUUCAUUGGGUGUAUGACCAUCAACGGUUUUAUUCAUUUAAACAGAACAACAAUUAUUCUCAGAUUUAAAUGAAUAACCGUAUUGCAAUAAACAUGAUCAAAUCAUAUUCAUGCUUAACGCAAAUGCCCAAUAACAUUUAUUUAGGUUCAACACUAAUCCCGAAAGUAUAGGGAGUGUGCGAUGAUGAUCAUAUCAAUCUUGGAACCACUUCCAACACACAUCGUCACUUCACCCUCAACUAGUUUCUGUUUAUUCUGUAACUCCUGUUUCGAGUUACUAAUCUUAGCAACCGAACAAGUAUCAAAUACUCAGGGGCUACUAUAAACACUAGUAAGGCACACAUCAAUAACCUGUUUAUCAAAUAUACCCUUGUUUACUUUGCCAUCCUUCUUAUCCACCAAAUAUUCAGGGCAUUUCCGCUUUGAGUGACCAUUUCCUUUGCAGUGUAAGCACUCAGUUUCAGGCUUUGGUCCAGCUUUGGUCUUCUUCACGGGAGUGAAAACUUGCUUGUCAUUCUUCUUGAAGUUCCCUUUCUUUCCCUUCGCCCUUUUCUUGAAACUAGUGAUCUUGUCAACCAUCAACACUUGAUGCUCUUUCUUGAUUUCUACCUUCGUCGAUUUCAACAUCACGAAGAGCUCGGGAAUCAUUUUCGUCAUCCUUGCAUACUAUAGUUCAUCACAAAGUUCUACUAACUUGGUGAUGGUGACUAGAGAACUCUGUCAAUCACUAUCUUAUCUGGAAGAUUAACUCCCACUUGAUUCAAGUGAUUGUAGUACCCAGACAAUCUGAGCACAUGCUCACUAGUUGAGCGAUUAUCCUCCAUCUUUUAGCCAUAGAACUUGUUGGAGACUUCAUAUCUCUCAACUCGGGUAUUUGCUUGAAAUAUUAACUUCAACUCCUGGAACAUCUCAUAUGGUCCAUGACAUUCAAAACGUCUUUGAAGUCCCGAUUCUAAGCCGUUAAGCAUGGUGCACUAAACUAUCAAGUAGUCAUCUUAUUGAGCUAGCCAAACGUUCAUAAUGUCUGCAUCUGCUCCUGCAAUAGGUCUGUCACCUAGCGGUGCAUUAAGGACAUAAUUCUUUUGUGCAGCAAUGAGGAUAAACCUCAGAUCACGGAUCCAAUCCGCAUCAUUGCUACUAACAUCUUUCAAUACAAUUUUCUCUAGGAACAUAUCAAAAUAAACAUAUGAAAGCAACAACGCAAGCUAUUGAUCUACAACAUAAUUUGCAAAAUACUACUAGGACUAAGUUCAUGAUAAAUUAAAGUUCAAUUAAUCAUAUUACUUAAGAACUCCCACUUAGAUAGACAUCCCUCUAAUCCUCUAAGUGAUUACGCGAUCCAUAUCAACUACACCAUGUCCGAUCAUCACGUGAGAUGGAGUAGUUUCAACGGUGAACAUCAAUAUAUUGAUCAUAUCUACUAUAUGAUUCACGCUCGACCUUUCGGUCUCCGUGUUCCGAGGCCAUAUCUGUUAUAUGCUAGGCUCGUCAAGUUUAACCUGAGUAUUCCGCGUGUGCAACUGUUUUGCACCCGUUGUAUUUGAACGUAGAGCCUAUCACACCCGAUCAUCACGUGGUGUCUCAGCACGAAGAACUUUCGCAAUGGUGCAUACUCAGGGAGAACACUUUUACUAUGAUAAUUUAGUGAGGGAUCAUCUUAUAAUGCUACCGUCAAUCAAAGCAAGAUAAGAUGCAUAAAAGAUAAACAUCACAUGCAAUCAAUAUAAGUGAUAUGAUAUGGCCAUCAUCAUCUUGUGCUUGUGAUCUCCAUCUUCGAAGCACUGUCAUGAUCACCAUCGUCACCGGCGCGACACCUUGAUAUCCAUCGUAGCAUCAUUGUCGUCUCGCCAAUCUUAUGCUUCUACGACUAUCGCUACCGCUUAGUGAUAAAGUAAAGCAUUACAGGGCGAUUGCAUUUCAUACAAUAAAGCGACAACCAUAUGGCUCCUGCUAGUUGCCGAUAACUUCGGUUACAAAACAUGAUCAUCUCAUACAAUAAAAUAUAGCAUCAUGUCUUGACCAUAUCACAUCACAACAUGCCCUGCAAAAACAAGUUAGACGUCCUCUACUUUGUUGUUGCAAAUUUUGCGUGGCUGCUACGGGCUUAGCAAGAACCGUUCUUACCUACGCAUCAAAACCACAAUGAUAGUUUGUCAAGUUGGUGCUGUUUUAACCUUCACAAGGACCGGGUGUAGCCACACUCGGUUCAACUAAAGUGAGAGAGACAGACACCCGCCAGUCACCUUUAAGCACGAGUGCUCGUAACGGUGAAACCAGUCUCGCGUAAGCGUACGCAUAAUGUAGGUUCGGGCCGCUUCAUCUCACAAUACCGCUGAACCAAAGUAUGACAUGCUAGUAAGCAGUAUGACUUAUAUCGCCCAUAACUCACUUGUGUUCUACUCGUGCAUAUGACAUCUACGCAUAAAACCAAGCUCGGAUGCCACUGUUGGGGAACGUAGUAUUUUCAAAAAAAAAAUCCUACACACACGCAAGAUCAUGGUGAUGCAUAGCAACAAGCGGGGAGAGUGUGUCUACGUACCCUCGUAGACCGAAAGCGGAAGCGUUAUGAUAACGCGGUUGGUGUAGUCGUACGUCUUCAUGAUCCGACCGAUCCAAGCACCGAACGUACGGCACCUCCGAGUUCAGCACACGUUCAACUCGAUGACGAUCCCCGGACUCCGAUCCAGCAGGGUGUCGGGGAUGAGUUCCGUCAGCACGACAGCGUGGUGACGAUGAUGAUGUUCUACCGACGCAGGGCUUCGCCUAAGCACCGCUACGAUAUGACCGAUGUGGAAUAUGGUGGAGGGGGGCACUGCAUACGGCUAAGGAACGAUCACGAAGAUCAACUUGUGUGUUAUGGGGUGCCCCCCUGCCCCCGUAUAUAAAGGAGCCAAGGGGGAGGGGGCGGCCGGCCAAGGAGGGCGCGCCAAGGAGGAGUCCUGCUCCCACCGGGAGUAGGAUUCCCCCCUUCCAAUUAGUAGGAGUAGCAGUCAAGGAAAGGGGGAAGAGAAGAGAAGGAAGGAGGGGGCGCAGCCCCUCCCCCUAGUCCAAUUCGGACUAGGCCUUGGGGUGGGGGCGCCCAGCCUCUCCUCUCUCUUUCCCCUAAAGCCCAAUAAGGCCCAUAUACUCCCCGACGAAUUCCCGUAACUCUCCGGUACUCCGAAAAAUACCCGAAUCACUCGGAACCUUUCCGAACUCCGAAUAUAGUCGUCCAAUAUAUCGAUCUUUACAUCUCGACCAUUUCGAGACUCCUCGUCAUGUUCCCGAUCUCAUCCGGGACUCCGAACUCCUUCGGUACAUCAAAACUCAUAAACUCAUAAUAUAACUGUCAUCGAAACCUUAAGCGUGCGGACCCUACGGGUUCGAGAACUAUGUAGACAUGACCGAGACACGUCUCCGGUCAAUAACCAAUAGCGGAACCUGGAUGCUCAUAUUGGCUCCCACAUAUUCUACGAAGAUCUUUAUCGGUCAGAUCGCAUAACAACAUACAUUGUUCCCUUUGUCAUCGGUAUGUUACUUACCCGAGAUUCGAUCGUCGGUAUCCAAUACCUAGUUCAAUCUCGUUACCGGCAAGUCUCUUUACUUGUUCCGUAAUACAUCAUCUCACAACUAACUCAUUAGUCACAUUGCUUGCAAGGCUUAUAGUGAUGUGCAUUACCGAGAGGGCCCAGAGAUACAUCUCCGACAAUCGGAGUGACAAAUCCUAAUCUCGAAAUACGCCAACCCAACAUGUACCUUCGGAGACACCUGUAGAGCUCCUUUAUAAUCACCCAUUUACGUUGUGAUGUUUGGUAGCACACAAAUUGUUCUUCCGGUAAAUGGGAGUUGCAUAAUCUCAUAAUCAUAGGAACAUGUAUAAGUCAUGAAGAAAGCAAUAGCAAUAUACUAAACGAUUGGGUGCUAUGCUAACGGAAUGGGUCAAGUCAAUCACAUCAUUCUCCUAAUGAUGUGAUCCCGUUAAUCAAAUGACAACUCUUUUGUCCAUGGCUAGGAAACUUAACCAUCUUUGAUUCACGAGCUAGUCAAGUAGAGGCAUACUAGUGACACUAUGUUUGUCUAUGUAUUCACACAUGUAUUAUGUUUCCGGUUAAUACAAUUCUAGCAUGAAUAAUAAACAUUUAUCAUGAUAUAAGGAAAUAAAUAAUAACUUUAUUAUUGCCUCUAGGGCAUAUUUCCUUCAGAUAGGUGGCUGUGAAAUUCUCCCACCAUGAUGCUGCGGGUCCCUCAAGCUGAUGUGCUGCAAAUCGCACCUUCUCCGCAUCUGUGCAUCCUGCAGUGGUCAACUCCCUGGCUGUCUUGCGAAGCCAAUCAUCUGCAACAAUUGGCUCGGUGCUACUGGAGAACACCGGCGGAUUCAGCCUAAGAAAACAAGUUAAGUGAACAACAGGUGGUGGUAGUGGUGGGUUGUUGUUGUUAUUGUUGUUCCCGUGAUUCUGAUUCUGGACUAGUAUCUGCAUCAAUGCAUUCUUCUGCUGGAUCAACUGGGUGAGCUCCGGUGGGAAAGCAAAUCCAUUGUGACAUCUCGGAGGCAUCUGAGGGUUUAGAAAAGAUGAGAAUACAUAAUAGAAUGAGGUCUAGAGGGAAAACACUACCCAUAUGCACAUGAGACAAAUGGCAAUCAAAACACUUCAUUCAAACAAGCAAGGGCAUACAAUGGUCUAUCUAUCGUUACAAAAGUGCUCAGACUAUACUAGAUACAUGGGGGAUAUACUACUACUGUUAUGGUGGUCUACUAGAAAAACUGCUCCGAUGAAGACUCCAUGAUAUCUGCUACAGCUUCAUCAACAUAGUCAUCAUCACUAUCGUCCGGGUCCGAGUCGAUGUCAUCGAUGAUGAUGUAAUUCUUUGGACAAGUGCAAUCUUCGUCUUCUCCAGUUGCGGGAAAUCCCAUAAACACUCUUAGCUUCUUCUUCAGAUCUUCCUUCUUCUCGACUAGCAUUGCUAUUUCCUCCUCAUAUCCAUCGCGUGUAGACUUGAGUUCUUCCUCAAGUUCUGUGAUCUUGGUCAUGGCCUUCUUCAGAUCCAUCAUGCCUGCGCACAUUUGGUUCUCCUGGCGUCGAAUGUGCUGGUCUAACUCCUGGAUGAAAGCUGCAAUUGAUCUGUCCUUCCUGGUGCUGACCAUCUCCCAUUGCUCAUCUCGGCGCCCACAAAUCUGGUAGAUAGUAUCCUUAAGCUCUGUGUGGUAAACUUCUCCAAUACGUCCCAUGGUGAUGUGGGCUGCCAUGCUCUUUCCUAGACUUCAUGUUGGUGCAUCAAAGGAAAACUCUAUGGGCUCAGUGACGGGCAUGAACGUACUUCUUGGAACUUGUACUUGAAUCAUCCAGCGCUCUUCUUCAGGUAAAGUGGCGUUGUAGGUCCUGGUGAAACUUGGUACCUCGAUGUUUAGGUAUCUAGUGACUUCCUUCAGGUGUCGUCCAAAGGGUGUAUCUUCAUCUGGUUGCGUGAACUUGUUCGUUGCAUCCGCCAUCCUAAAAGAGUAGAAAAGAUGAGGAGUCAUAAAUGAGAAGAGAGAGUAGUGAUCUAGGGCUUUAGCUUAGUGGUCGUGUCACACAGUCAACGUGUGCUCUGAUACCAUCUUGUAGCGACCAGACCUCAAACAGUCAGAUCUCUGUGCAUCAGUGUCAUCCCUGGAUCAGUAAUGCUGACACACAUAGUACUCGAAGGAUUUAUAACAGAGUAGCAAUCACACACUUAUUACAUCAAAUGUCUCAAAAGAGAGCUUAUUACAAUAAAUAUGGCUUAAGGCCAUCUAAUGACGAUAACAACGGAAGGCUUGGAAGAUAAGUGAGUCCAUCAACUCCAACGGCAUCACUGAGUAUAGAACCAUGAUCCUAAGGCAUCUUACUCGUCGUCUGAAAAGUCUGCAACAUGAACAUUGCAGCCCAAAAACGGGUCAGCACAUGGAUAUGCUGGCAAUGUAUGAAAGAAUAAAGCUAUUCUACAUGCAUAUAUGGCUGGUGGAAAACUCUAUGGUUACAGUUUUUGCAUAAAGCCAGUUUUUCCCUACUGCAAAGGAAUAAAUUUAUUUAACUAUCAUGGUGGUUGUUAAACAUUGAGAAUGGUUGACAACAUUCUCAAUCCCAAUUAGAAAUAAUCAUCAUUAAACAAACCCAACAAUAUUAAUUAAAAUAACAUGUUGAGAUUCACAGGAUAAUCCAAGUACUAGAUACUCAAGAUGUCCAUAACUGGGGACACGACUAAUCAUGAUUAGUUUUUACACUCCGCAGAAGUUUGCGCACUUUUCCCCACAGGACUCGAUCUCCUCCGUUGGUUUUCUCGCACUACAUGGUGUUUGAGAAACAGAUGACCGAGACAUAGUCUUUCAGAAGCGCUAGCACCUUAUGAUGGGUAGACCUGUACACCUACUUUCCCCUACAUCUGCAAGUCUACCAUUGUAAGAGUUUGCACGAUCUUAUGAUCCCUUUGAGCCUGGGUGGCGGUCCAAAAACAAACAGGAAAUCCUGGAAUACCCAGGUACCUCAAUCCACCCAGAUGUGUAUUAAAUUUACCAUCUUAAAUAAACCAUUAAUUAACAAUCUCACAUCUGUCAUGGAUAAACUCACCCAAUCCACGUCUACUAGCAUAGCAUGGCAUAAUAAGCAAACGUAGAAGUAACUCCCAAGGGUUUGAUAUUAAAAUAGGUAAUAGGCACUACCUCAUCUACUUCCGAAACCCACAUAUUAAUCAGAUCCUAAUCAUGCAAUUGUUUGAGGAUUGAUCUAAUGCAUAAAACUGGGUAGUAGAGAAGUAUGAUCAAAGUGUUACUUGCCUUGCUGAUGAUCCAUGAAACCUAGGGAUUCGAAGUAGCAAGAGGCGCAAUCCGGGUACUCUAUCGCGAACAAACAAACAAGCAUACAAUAAGUACUCAUCUAAUGCACAUGUAAAACUCAAAUAAGAUAUCUAACCAGAAAGUUCAACUUAAGAACUCCGGUUUGCAAAAACAAUCAAAUCGAACGAAACAAAGAAACUCAAACGGCGAAAGAAACAAGCUUCGCUUACUAAUCUGGACCUAAGUCAAAUUUUAUAGAAGCAAAAACUUGUUUGAGUAGAUUAUUCGGAAAGAGGGUUUCGAGAAGAAACUCUAGGCGCUUGAAUCGUCUGAUUCUGAUAAACGAGCGAAAAGUUAUACUAAAACGAAAAUUGGAUCAGAAAUCGUGAUCAGAAAAAUCGCGGAAUAAAUCUGAGAAAAAAGAAAAAUGACGAACAGAUUAACAAACGAAUGUUCGUUAUCUGGAUCUAAACGAUAAACGCGUUCGUUAAAACGAACGAACGAGCGAACGCUCGCUAAUUAACCUAAACCGAAAAAAACUGAUCUAAUAAAAAAACGGAUCUGAAAAAACCGACGAAAAAACCGAACGAUUUUUCUAAAAAAAACGGCGGGGCUCGGGUCGACCUUGGGGUGCGGGUCCGGCGGCGGCCGUGGCUUCGNNNNNNNNNNNNNNNNNNNNNNNNNNNNNNNNNNNNNNNNNNNNNNNNNNNNNNNNNNNNNNNNNNNNNNNNNNNNNNNNNNNNNNNNNNNNNNNNNNNNNNNNNNNNNNNNNNNNNNNNNNNNNNNNNNNNNNNNNNNNNNNNNNNNNNNNNNNNNNNNNNNNNNNNNNNNNNNNNNNNNNNNNNNNNNNNNNNNNNNNNNNNNNNNNNNNNNNNNNNNNNNNNNNNNNNNNNNNNNNNNNNNNNNNNNNNNNNNNNNNNNNNNNNNNNNNNNNNNNNNNNNNNNNNNNNNNNNNNNNNNNNNNNNNNNNNNNNNNNNNNNNNNNNNNNNNNNNNNNNNNNNNNNNNNNNNNNNNNNNNNNNNNNNNNNNNNNNNNNNNNNNNNNNNNNNNNNNNNNNNNNNNNNNNNNNNNNNNNNNNNNNNNNNNNNNNNNNNNNNNNNNNNNNNNNNNNNNNNNNNNNNNNNNNNNNNNNNNNNNNNNNNNNNNNNNNNNNNNNNNNNNNNNNNNNNNNNNNNNNNNNNNNNNNNNNNNNNNNNNNNNNNNNNNNNNNNNNNNNNNNNNNNNNNNNNNNNNNNNNNNNNNNNNNNNNNNNNCGGCGGCGGCGGGCUAUGGUUAGGGUUGGUGGCGGCGAUGACUUGGGCUGGGGGCGGGGCGCGGCUUGGGCUGGGGUCGGCCCGGGCACGGUAUAAAAAGACCCCGACCAGGCGGAGUCCUGGCCGGUUACGGCCCAAGGUCGGUUCAGGCUUUUUUUUAAAAUAAUUUUCGCGUAGAAAAUCAACGAAAGAAAUACUAAACGGACUCCAAAAAUCCCGAAAUAAAUUUUCCCCGGCUUUUAAAAUCAAGUCGGUUUAGAUGAACAUUAAUUUGGGCCUAAAUGCAGUUUUGUAAAGCGCGCAUUGUCCUAAAUUUAAAUAAAAUAGCAAUAAAAUCCAAAAUAAAUUCUUAUUUGAUUUUUUUAUUAAAUCCUCAAUAUUUCUUUAUUUUUGGAAAGUCAUUUUAUUCCCUCUCUCAUAAUUUAAAAUUUGAAAUAAUUGAAGAUAAAAUAAAUAAAAUCAAAUGAUCAUAUUUCCAAAAUUUGAGAAAACUCAAAUAUGAAAUUUACGAAAUCCCCAACUCUCUCCAUGGGUCCUUGAGUUGCGUAGAAUUUCUAGGAUCGAGGCAAAAUGCAAUGAAUGUGAUAUGCAAUAAUGAUCUAUUUGUAUAACAUUCCAAAUUGAAAAAAAUUGGGAUGUUACACGAAUACUACCUUCCAAUAUAUGAAUCUUUACCUCUCGACCAUUUCAAGACUCCCCAUCAUGUCCGUGAUCUCAUCGAGGACUCCGAACAAUCUUCGGUCACCAAAACACAUAACUCAUAUAAUACACAUCAUCAUCGAACGUUAAGCGUGCGGACCCUACGGGUUCAAGAACUAUGUAGACAUGACCGAGACACCUCUCCGGUCAAUAACCAAUAGCAGAACCUGGAUGCUCAUAUUGGUUCCCACAUAUUAUACAAAGAUCUUUAUCGGUCGAACUGCUAUGUUAACAUACAUUAUUCCCUUUGUCAUUGGUAUGUUACUUGCCCGAGAUUUGAUCGUUGGUAUGUUCAUACCUAGUUCCAUCUUGUUACCAGCAAGUCUCUUUACUCGUUCCAUAAUGCAUCAUCCCACAACUAACUCAUUAGUCACAUUGCUUGCAAGGCUUCAUAUGAUGUGCAUUACCGAGAGGGCUUAGAGAUACCUCUCCGAUCCUUGAAGUGAUAAAUCCUAAUCUCGAUACAUGCCAACCCAACAAACACCUUCGGAGAUACCUGUAGAGCAUCUUUAUAAGUACCCAGUUAUGUUGUGACGUUUGAUAAAACACAAGGCAUUCCUCUGGUGUCCGGGAGUUGCAUAAUCUCAUAGUCGGAGGAAUAUGUAUUUGACAUGAAGUAAGCAGUAGCAAUAAAACUAAACGAUCAUAAUGCUAAGUUAACGGAUGGGUCUUGUCCAUCACAUCAUUCUCCUAAUGAUGUGAUCCCGUUCAGCAAAUGACAACACAUGUCUAUGGUUAGGAAACUUAACCAUCUUUGAUUAACGAGGUAGUCAAGUAGAGGCAUACUAGGGACAAUAUGUUUUGUCUAUGUAUCCAGACAUGUAUCAAGUUUCCGGUUAAUACAAUUCUAGCAUGAAAAAUAGACAUUUAUCAUGAUAUAAGGAAAUAUAAAAUAACAACUUCAGUAUUUCCUCUAGGGCAUAUUUCCUUCAGUCUCCCACUUGCACUAGAGUCAAUAAUCUAGUUCACAUCGCCAUGUGAUUUAACACCAAUAGUUCACAUAUGUAUGUGAUUAACACCCAUAGUUCACAUCGCCAUGUGACCAACACCCAAAAGGUUUACUAGAGUCAAUAAUCUAGUUCACAUCGCUAUGUGAUUAACACCCAAAGAGUACUAAAGUGUGAUCAUGUUUUUCUUGUGAGAUAAGUUUAGUCAAUGGGUCUGCCACAUUUAGAGCCGUAUGUAUUUUGCAAAUUUUCUAUGUCUACAAUGCUCUACAUGGAGCUACUCUAGCUAAUUGCUCCCAUUUUCAAUAUGUAUCCAGAUUGAGACUCAGAGUCAUCCAGAUAGGUGUAAAAGCUUGCAUCAACGUAACUCUUUACGACAAACUCUUUAUCACUCCCAUAACCGAGAAAUAUUUCCUUAGUCCUCUUAGGUAACUAAGGAUAACUUUGACCGUUGUACAGUGAUCCACUCCUGGAUCACUAUCGUACCCCCUUACCAAACUCAUGAUAAGGUACACAAUAGGUCUGGUACACAACAUAGCAUACUUUAUAGAACCUAUGUAUGAGGCAUAGUGAAUGACUUUCAUUCUCUUUCCAUUUUCUGCUAUGGUCGGGUUUUGAGUCUUACUCAACUUUACACCUUGCAACACAGGCACGAACUCCUUAUUUGACUGUUCCAUUUUUGAACUACUUCAAAAUCUUGUCAAGUUAUGUGCUUUGUGAAAGUUCUAUCAAGCGUCUUGAUCUAUCUCUAUAGAUCUUGAUGCCCAAUAUAUAAGCAGCUUCACCGAGGUCUUUCAUUGAAAAACUUUUACUCAAGUAUGCUUUUAUGCUAUCCAGAAAUUCUACAUCAUUUCCAAUCAACAAUAUGUCAUCCACAUAUAAUAUUAGAAAUGCUAUAGAGCUCCCACUCACUUUCUUGUAAAUACAGGCUUCUCCAAGAGUCUGUAUAAAAUCAUAUGCUUUGAUCACCUCAUCAAAGCGUAUAUUCCAACUCCGAGAUGCUUGCACCAGUCCAUAAAUGGAUCCAUGGAGUUCCAUACUUUGUUAGCACCUUUAGGAUCGACAAUACCUUCUGGUUGCAUCAUAUACAACUCUUCUUUAAGAAAUCCAUUAAGGAAUGCAGUUUUGACAUCCAUUUGCCAGAUUUCAUAAUCAUAAAAUGCGGCAAUUGCUAACUUGAUUCGGACAAACUUAAGCAUCGCUACGGGUGAGAAAGUCUCAUCGUAGUCAACUCCUUGAACUUGUCGAAAACCUUUUGCGACAAGUCGAGCUUUAUAGACAGUAACAUUACCAUCAGUGUCAGUCUCCUUCUUGAGGAUCCAUUUAGUCUCUAUGGGUCGCUGUCGGUGUCGAAACCGGCAGAUCUUGGGUAGGCGGGCCCAAGCAGUGCGUCUAAGGAUCAAUGGUAACAGGAUGCUAGGGGACACAGUGUUUACCCAGGUUUGGGCCUCUUAAGGAAAUAAAAACCCUACUCCUUCUUGAUUUUAUUCGACGAGUAUGUAGAUUACAAGAGUUGAUCUACCUCGAGGUAAUAAUGGCUAACCCUAGGUGUCUAGCCUAUGACGAUCCAGUGAUGGUGAAGAAGAUAGCCCCUACAGGCUAACCCCUCUAGUUUAUAUACACACCGGAUGGGUCUAGGGUUUGUACAAGGUCGGCUUAUCAGGGAAGGAAGCUUCCGGACUCUAUUCUUGCCGUCCACGUAGCGAGAAGUUCCAUCCGGACAUGGCAGCUAAUCUUUAGCUUGAUCCUGUACGGCCCAUGCGAUCUGGCCCAUACUCCUAGGUUGGACACUUGAGGACCCCCGAAUCUAGGACUCCCUCAGUAGCCCCAGAACUUGCCUUCAAUGACAAUGUAGUGUGCAGAAUCAAGUCUUCAACUCUGCAAGGCGGGUUCUCCACCACAUUCCGGAUUGAUGAUAGUCCGACAUUGAUUUCCGUGCCUAGUCUUUAUGAUUCCUCCCUGUCGUCGCCUCGAUUUCCACGUGUCUGAGUGAAUGUGAAUGGUCCAUUACCAAUGUAUUUUAAUAUUUUAACAGGCACAGGCUACGCCUAUAUAACAAGGCUAGAUCUGCAAAAUGCCAUCUUGCGCCGCCCCAAGAGCAACAGAGUGAACCACGGAAAAAUUCAGACCAUGGCUAGUGACCCUGGCUCCUCCUCGCGUCCUCAUGGCCCUCAAGAGGGGGAUUGGCAGAGUUGCUCUGUAUCUCACCUCCAGCUCAAUCUUCUCCAGACGCAAGGAUAUGUCCCCCUCUCCCGCGGAUCUAGUCUCCGUACAGGCAGGGUUAACUUCUAUGGGUGUCGACGCGUUGGCGGAAAUUUUCCCCAAUCCCAGCCAAGGGGAGAGGGUAUGCUUCAUAUCAUUCCUCUUGAGGGGCGUGGAAUUCCCAAUCCACCCUUUCCUUAGGGGCCUAUUGGAAUACUACAGGAUCCAACUGCACAACCUCACGCCAGGUUCUAUCUUACAUAUCUCUGGUUUUAUCGCCCUUUGCGAAUUAUUUUGGGCUGUGAGGCUCACUUUGAACUAUGGAAAAAGUUCUUCUACCUCGUCCCCCGCCAUCAUGGGGCGGGUCUAUUUUUGAAGUGGGUGGCGCCGAAGUAUGGCGCAUAGCCGGAUCCGGCUAUCCAAUCAGGAAUCCAAAGAAAGGAUCCGCCGAAUGGUCUUCAAAAUGGUUCUAUAUCUAGGAUGUUCCUCUUCCAGACCCUGUUCGGCGCGGACUGCCAGAAUUGUCCAGCGCCCUCUUGAAGAAGCUAUAUAACUGGCGUCCGAAGUCCCGUGGUUAGGAAGACAGUGCGGAAGUAAUGAUAUUGGUAAACAAGGUCAGGUUACUGACCCAUUCCGGACUCUCCAUAGUUGAAGUUAUGGCCAUUGCAACAAAGCGAUGCAUCCAACCCCUUCAAUCCAGGGUGACCCCCUUAUGGAAUUACAACGGGGAGGAUGAUGCAUCCCACUACAGGCGAGAGGGUCCGAACAACUAAGCCGCAUCAGCCGCCAUGCUGGACAAUCUUUAUAUAGGAGAAGAAGAAGACUUCCUCCAUUUAAAUUGUCGAGAGGGCUUCUCCAUGUACAAUCCCAUUGAAUGGGUAGGUUUUUGAAUUGUUCAGUACUUUUUUACUCAUUGAAUCGCAUUAACCGAAUACCCUGGCUGCUUUUUAAAUAGUCAUGGAGGCAAAUAGUUGAGAACAUUAAUUGCCCCACCCCCAGCCAGAGGAUCAUGAUCGCAAUGAAGAUCCCGGAUUCCACGAGGAUCCGGAAAUAUUUGUAGAGUUUGAAGAUGGAGUCUACUAUCAAGUGAGCCUUGAUAGCUCGGAAGUAGCCGUUGUGGCUGACUACCCCGACCUCUAUCCUUUCGUGAAGGUGAGUAUUGAGAAAUUGUAUUCUCAAGACAGAGAGAUACUUUUGCUCAUCUCUUACUCUCCGCAUCGGACCAUGUCUCGCAGGAUCGGCAUUCAGCGAGCCGUACCCAGGGACGGGCGACCAAGAAAAGGUCAGCACCUUCACGGAAGGGUCGCACAAAAUGAAAGGAAGUCAGAAGCACCACUAAGUCUGCUCCAUCAUUGAAAAGGUAUAUUCCUCCUAUUUCAUAUUCAGGUGUGAAGCCGAAUUGUCAUUCGCAUCCUCCUUCAAUCAUCACAGGAGGUGUAUACGGUGAACCGUGAACAAGAUCCCAGCCAGCCGAGCCGCGGCCAAUACGGCGCCAGAGACAUCAACCAGGACGGGGGUGCAUGCCAGUGCGACACAGACUCAUUCGCCUCAUGAAGAGUCAGAUGAGAUGUCCGUCACUAACUCCGAAGUUGAAAGUGUAAUGAAUCAUCGUCACUUGAAAGAAGCCCUGCACGCCCCUGCCUUGAUGGAGCCGGAGUUUACCGCCCUUAGCACUAUGGGUGCAUAUAUCCGAGCUACCCGGGAUGGACUCAUAGGGAUUGCUCGCCUGUUCUCAAAGGAUAUGCAGGUACCAAUAUAUAUAAAAUUAGUAGAUAAAUAGCAGUAGUCCCCGAGACUUAAAGUGGGUGGACAAAGCCGAUUUGAGGAUCGUUUGAUGACCGCAGGUUCUCAAGGAGAAGAACAGUGCAUUGUCCCAGGAGCUCGAGACAAGCUGGACACAGCUAAAUGCCGCUGUCUCUGAGCUUGAAGAAAUGAAGAGUGCCCCAAUGUAUUUUGGCAAAUAUCAAAAACUAGAAGAAGAAGUGAAGAAGCAACCCAAAGAGAUAAAGAGCUUAAAGGCUCAACUCUUGGAGGCUCAAUAGGGAGACCAGAAGCUGAAGGGCGGCAUAUUCAGUAUGACUUAUGAACCAUCCAAACUAUUGAUAUAAUCAUAUAAUGUGGAACGUUAUAGUUUGGUUGAUACAAGUAUGUUGACCGGCUACCCCGAAGAGGAGAUGCCCAUCCUACAAAGCAACGUUCCAGAGGAGCUGGCAAAGUUGCACGAGCGUGCCCAGAAGGCCAUGAAGAAUAUGGUCAAAGCCUUAUGGCCCUCCGACGUCCCUCUAGAAAGUAUUGAGGGGUUGGCAGAUCUAUUCAAGGGUGCUCGGCGUUGCUCCGAGCUGUGGAAGACGUCCGCAUGCCAUGAAGGCACUCGAGAGGCAUGGGCCAUGGUGAAGACACGCUAUACCGGUCUUGAUCCGAACCAUAUGGCCAGAGUUGGACCGCAAGGAGCUAACAGGAAGGAGAUUCCCGUGAGUUUGGUAUACGACCAAGUAAUGAUAGCGGUGAAAUUUUCACAACAAGAUUAUAAAUUAGAUAGUCUACUAGAUGGUGUAGAAAGAGAGUAGGCAUUUGAUUCGAUGUAUGAAUGUACCUUAUGAUCGAACUUAUCUCCUGCCAAAUUGUAUAAAUUUUUUGUCAUCGCAGACCUUCGGCUUCUACCUCCGAACCAAGAAGUUGGAGUGUUUCCGUGUACUAUGUUUAUCUAGAAAACAUUUAGUCUUGUCAGAAACCAGGCAAUCCGUUCAUAUUGCUCAAACAGACAAAAUGUGUUAGGGGAGUUAUGUUAUAUUACUGUUUAACAU
rnacentral:lncRNA from 1 species